rnacentral:lncRNA from 1 species
UUAAUUUAUCUCAAUUAAGAUAGUGAACUUCAAUUUCUAUCUUUAUUCAGUCACGUCCUUAAGUUCUAUCUAAAUUUUCAAAUAAAACGAUAAAACAAUGUUGAAUUUAGUUGUCAUUUCAUUUUCUAGAGACGACAAUCACUACUAAUUUAUCUGAAAUGAUCUGUUAUAACUGAAAAGUAAAAUAUAUCAUAUGUUUCAGCAAUUUGAAAUAACUCGCAAUCGUUGCGGAAUUAUAUUUUAGUAGCAGCUAAAUUAGCUGACAAAUUAAUUAUUACUCUGUCAGAAAAAAAACAUUCCGAGUUUGAGAAGUAAUCCAAUUAAACUAAAAAGUUCAAUGAUAACUUUUCCAAAAUUAAAACUCUUCUGUUUCAAAUAGUUAAAAUGCAAUAUAUAUCUCUUAUUAAACUUUAAUAAUUAAAUAACCUUUUUUUUUGUGAUCUAUGUACCGCAUUUUAACUGGUCCAGCUGGAGCGGUAGUUAGACUCGGUCAACCAAUAUUUUCUCCUCAAUAAUGGUAGAAGAGAAUUUUGUUGUGAAAGUGCUAUCUCUUUUUCUUAUUUGUCUUUUUUUUUUUGCAGUAAAUUAUAUCUAAACUUUAGGCAAAAUUUUAUUUUAAAAUAUCAAAUUAUGAACAUAGAAUUAAAUUUGGAACGUUUGCAUCCAAUUUACCCACGCAGCCUUUGAAAGUUACAAUUUUAACCUUCCACGUUUUAACUCGUUUGAUUUGUGCUCUCUUAAGAACUCUGAUAAAUUAUUGGAUACAUUCGGUGCAUCAGCAUAUUCAUGCACCAUACUUUCGUUUGUUUGUUCAUCAUGUCCGAUAGUUCCAUCUUUGUUGCCAAAAGAUUUCUAAGUAGCACCCUACUUAAAAUGAAAUAAAUGAUUAGAUUAAAAGUAUGACAUUUAUGAAAAUCUUAUUAAGCUACAAAUCAAAGAAUUUCAAAGAAUAGAUGGUAAAAUAUAUAUAAAUGGCGCAAACUUGGUGUAAAAUUUUAUAUUAUUUAUUUUUAGGCUAAAUUAUAGAAAAUAUUUCUGUAAAUAUCCGUUUUUUCGCUUUUUUUCCCUAACUUUUGAAAAUCUAUAUUUUACCUCCCCAACAUUAAUUUUAUGUUAUUUCACCCCCCUCCUGCAAGAUUCCAUCACUAAUCCAUCCAUUUCUUAUAAUUUAUAUCAAAAAAAAAAUUCUUAUAAAAAAUUGUAAGAAUAAUUUAAUCAUUUUGCUUUCUCUAUUAACGUCGUCUUUCUGAAAAUAUUUUUAAAAUUUUAAGUGCACAAAAUAUAAAUUUUUUAAAAGUCAAAAAGAAAAAAAAUAAAAAAAUAAAUAUUUUUUGCAUGAAAGUUUUGUGUAAUUUAGCUACAUUUUUAUUGUUCUUCCUUUAAAAAAAAAAAAAAACUAGGAUCUAUUUCUUGCGGGGACGGACACGUCGUCAGCGCUGCUCCAAUGGGCCAUGUCGGAGCUGAUCAGAAACCCCGACGCGAUGGCAAAGGCGCAAAAGGAGGUCAGGGAAGCACUGAAAGGAACGGACGGCAUUGUCGAAGAAGCCCAAGUAAACGAGCUCAACUAUCUCAGAAUGGUGGUGAAAGAAGCCCUACGACUGCACCCUGCAGUGCCGCUGCUCAUCCCUAGAGUGUGCCAGUCGACGUGCCAGGUGGAGGGAUACGAGAUCUCGCCGGGGACGCGCGCCGUCGUCAACGUGUGGGCCAUCGGGCGGGACCCCAAGUACUGGACGGAGCCGGACCGGUUCAUGCCGGAGCGGUUCGCGGAGCCCGGCGCAGCCGACUACAAGGGGACCAGCUUCGAGCUGCUGCCGUUCGGGUCGGGGCGGCGGAUGUGCCCUGGGAUGGUGUUUGCACUCGCCGGCGUGUUCGUGUCCCUCGCAGAGCUGCUCCGUCGGUUCGAUUGGCGGAUGCCGGACGGGAUGACGCCUGAGGAGCUCAGCAUGGAGGAGACCAGCCUCGCGCCAGCGGAGCGCACUACAAAAAAAAUAGAUUUUAGAAGCGGUCGAAACCGCUGGUAAAAGUCUAUAGAACCGCUGGAAAAAUGUUUCCCGACAUUUGUAAAACCGUCGGAAAAAAUUUUAUAACCGCUGUUAGAUCUCUGUCGCUAAAAACCUUUGCCGACAGUUUAUACAACCGUUGGAGAAGAUAAUAAUUUUAGUAACGCUUUUCCGACCGCUACUAAAUAUAGUAAAAAACGCUAGUAUAAAUUAAUAAAUUUAUACCAUCGGUUUCAUAAUUGUUGUGAAUUCAAUCCAAACUACAAAUUAUACAAUUAAAAGAAAACUAGACAAGAUUUUAAGACUCUUUAAAAUGAGAUAUAUGAACAAAUUCAUCAUCCAAACAAAUUUAAAUUUGAUUACAUACGACAAUUGUCAAACAAGAGAAGUCAAAUCAUUUAAUCAAAUAGGAGUUUGUAGAGUAAAAACAGAACUGUCAAUCAAAACUUUUAUUCAAAGAAGUUUUCAAUCUAAAAGAAAUAAAAUCCAUAUGAAAUCAAAGUUUUCUACGAGUUCUUCAACUUAUUUUAUGAAUUCACUCCGCAUGAAACACCAAUCCUUCCUCUUUUUUGAAAAUUCCUGCAAAAAAAAAAAAUCAAGUUAGUGAAACAAAAAAAUGAAAAGGUCUUAAAGAUUAUGAGAUGAACCUCAAUAUAUCAAUAUAUGUGGGUUCUACUAGAACAACGAAAUGAAACUAGAAAGCUCCAAGAGACAAGGUUUUGGAAGCAAAACGGAAGUAUAUAUAAAAGUAAAAAUUCUAGCGCUAUGUUUAAUAAAUCUCUAGGAAAAGAAGGUGAAAGUCGAAAUCCAACCUCGUAGGCAAGAAAAUACAAGCUGAAUUUCAUUUCAGGGAAAUCCAGUCGCUUCAAUAACCUGGUUUUUCAUGCAAGAAAAAUUAUAAGCCUAACGCCCAAAAUUAGGUGAACAAGAAGAACUCCAACAAUAGAACUUGCAAUGGCUUCUUCUAUGUUUAAGAACUUAACAUAAGAAGUGUAGAUAUGAAAUAGAAGCUCUACAUUGUUGACACUUUUUGUCAGCUUCUUGGCACCAGUUUAAUUAAACAAAACAUUUUUGCAUCGUCAUGACCUCCAGCAAAGCAAAUAAAAGGGACAUUAAUUGAAAUUAAUUAAUCAAAAUAGGUUUUCUCUGGGCAUGGAGUUAUGCUUGUCAGGUCAAAAUGAUCCUAUUCAGGUAGCUUGAAUUAUGGAUAUCGCAAUAUACAUUCUGGGUACAUACUCUAGACACGUGCCAGUGUUUAUCAUCAGCCAAUCAUUGAUUUAUUUCUAAAAUUGUAAAGACUGUACCACAGAUCAAUAAGUAAUGAAGAAAAGAAUAUCUGAAUGGAACUUACUUCAUCCCCAACACACGAGAGUAGAAAUCAAGACUCACUUUAGGAUCUUUAACUCGAAACAUCUGCAAACCAUUAAAAAAACCAAAAAUUCAGAUUUGCUUUGUCAACAGAAGAUUACCCUCAAAAACCUAACUGCCUAACUCAAUGGGAAAAUAUAAGAAAAUAAAGGGAAAAGUACACCAUCAGUCACUAAAUUUACAGUGAAAUCUCACUUGCGUCACCAAACUUAAAUUUGGUUCAAUUGAGCUACUAUAACAUGGCUACCAGUUCACCUCUUGGCGAUGAUGUAAUCACUAAUUCAGCUGCCAACACACCUCUUGGAGACGGCGUGACAGUUGAAAAAUAAUUAGUCAAAAAAUGUCGCAACUUGAUUAACUACGAUCAUUGCCGCAUCAACUUUUGCUAGCUGAAUCAGCCGUCACAUCAUUCCUUAGAAAAAAUGAUUCAAAUGUAUGUAAACCUCCUUAUCUGUAGGCCAAUUUCAAUUAGACUCCUUUAACUACUUUUCUUUUGAUUGAAACUCCCUCAACUUCUAACUGUUUCAAUUUUAGUUACUUUCUUAAAUCGAAUCAUCCCACUUAGUUAAUAACCUCUCAAUCAUCCCACUCGGCAAUAAAGGCUCUUCAAAUAGAUAGAGAGAAACAAUUUUCAAAUUACAGCUGUAAAACAAGAAACCCAUCCAUCAACUAAUGUAGAAGCAAGGGUCCAAUAUCACUAGAACAACAAUGGCAAAAAAGGUACAUAGAAAUAAAGAGGGAACAUGAAGCAUCAAGAAGUUUAAAAAAGAGCUUAUCACAUAUACUACAAAACAUCACAGGUAGAAGCACCCACAGCCCACGUGACUAAUAGUGAUGUCUCUUGAUGUUCUAGUGUCCACCAUUUUGAGUUUAGGUAACACCCAAUAAAUCCACUAGCAUGGUGCUUAAAAGAGAUAACACAAUAAAGAUAUUAAACUAGACUAAAAUCUAGAGAUUCUAUACACACAUAAAAAGGGAACUAUACAAUUAACUCCUUAACAUAACAAAAUACAAAAACACCCAUCAAACUUAAAAUAACAUAACUAUAGACAAACUAUGCGAAAGAAGAUAUGAAAAUAUAUGUAUUGUGGAAACUUUAUAACGAAUUAGUUACCUUACAAUUAAAUUCCACUUUCUCUUUGAGUGUCACAAUCAGCUCUACCAUCAACAUCUUGAACCUACAAUAUGAAAAGCAUUAUCACAUAGAUAAGAAACAAUCUAAAAAAACAUAACAUACAAUAAUUAUUUUAAAAUUUAGAACUAAAUGCUUAAGGAUUGAAAUGGAUUCAUGACCUUUGAAGAUUGAGCAUCCGACUGCUUUGAAAAAAGCAUAUCUACUUUGGCCUCUAUAGAAGCUAAUCUCUCCUUAAGGUCAUAUAUUUCUCUAUCUUUAUCUCUUAAAAUUUCUUCCAUUGAAAUGAUCUUUAAUUGAUGAGAAUUGUUUGACGAUACGUCACUUAGCAUAGAGGGUGUUGGACCAAAUCCCACACCACGAACACGACCAUGGCGAUCUUGGCCAAUCACUUUAGAAUAUGCAUCAUCAGCCGCCCACAUUGAGCUACCUCCUGAGCUGCCUUGAGUGACAUCCGAUUCUUUUUGCAUUAAUUUCUUCAACUUCUUCUGAAAUUUGGAAAAAAAGAAAAAUAUGUGUAUAUUAAAAUAUACAAUGAAGAAAGUAAAUAUAAGUAACAAUAUAAAUUCUCGAACUAUACAAUAUUUUUUUUGGCGCGCUUUGUAACAGGCUCUCCAUUUUUUUGUUGAUGAAGCGCAAUAUAAAGCUUUCCCCUACUUGGAACUUCUCCAUGCUUCUCCUACUCAUAAAAUAUUUUAUUAAAGAGGACAUAAAGUUAAAAGGCAGCAUGCAAGAAACUGAAAAACCUCCUACUUACCAUCUCAAAUGCAUACUGUGCUAUUGAUUUUGAACCACCAGUAUGAAAGUCCUUUUUUUUAUCUCUAUUUUCUUUAUUUUUUCUACUACGUUCCUGCAAGCAUAUUGCCCCAAUUUUAGCAAAUAGGUUCCAUCUCUAAAGAAAAUAAAAAAAAUGUAUAAGGCAAGAAAUUGCAAAUUCAGUACAUUGAUAGAGCCAAUUACUUUUCCAAACAAUAUAAAUAGUGCAAUAUAGUUUUGUAGAACAAGAUAUACCUUCGCUUCAUCAGAACGCCAAUAAUCAACUAAUCUAGCAAAUUGGGCAUGAUUAACAGAUGGUGGUGCCCUAGCUAAAAUCUCCUUCCUUUUUCGUGAUUCAUCAUAAUAUUUCGCUUUCAACUCGCACUUGUAAUUUCUCCAAAGAUCGCCAAGCUUCUUUAUUGUGUUAUGCCGAAUCUUUUCUCUUGUUGUUGGAUCUCUCGGGAAUUCAAACUUUGACUAUACCCAAAAGUUCUUCACAUUAGAUAAUAAAUUUGUGCCAAAAUUAUAACAAACAACAAGAUAAAUAAUUGAAUUCAACUACCUCAAGAACUUCCCAACAAGAAUUUUUGUACUUAACAUCCAUCUUACGCCAACUCAAGUAAUCAAUUGGAGCUAGAUUUGGCUUCCUGACUACAGUACCCAUAAAUCUAUGAAGAAUGCUGCCUUCUUUAUCAAUGGGCUGAAAAUAGUUAUUAUAUUUCAACAUAAUCCGUUGAUUAGAAGGCAAAUUCCAAAUGUCAGACAUACGAGUGACCCCUCGUUUUCCACGUGCAGAUGACCCACCUAUUUGAUUAACAAAAGAAACAUACAAACAACACGAGUUUUUAGCAAUUCUUUUUCUAAAAGUAAAUAAGCAAUUCUUUCUUUACUUCUCUAUAAUACAAGUAUUUAGCAAAAUAUAGUUACUAUAAGUAUUAUGAUAUUGUUGAAGCUAUGCAGGAAAUAAAGUGAAAAAUAGAUGUUAACUUUAGAUAUGAAGAAUUAAAAUAGCCAUUUGAAGCAGCAAACAAAUCAAUUAAUAAAAUUCAAAUAGGAAUCUAAGGCUAGUCAAAGUUGAAAUAUAAACACUUUUUUAAGUUUCAAAUGAUGCAUUUAAACACUAAUUAUCAACUAUAUAAACUAAAUCAAACUAUAUAUAGAUGUUAAAAAUCAAUGAUAAGGAAAGAAUUUAAGGUAUACCAGUGAUACAAAUUUCCACUUCAUUAGAAUCUACUUGGUCGACAUCAUCAUCCAUUUCAUGCGUCUCGGCAUCUGGUUGGUGCGGAAGUGAAAAUUCUCGAGUCUGUUUAGGGCAUUGUGUCGGUAUCUCCACAUCACCCUCUACAGAGCAAAGCUUGAGACGUUUCUUUGCCAUUCCUGCACAUAAUGUUACGCAUAUCAUUAAUAAUAGGAAACAACAAAAAAAAAUUAGUAAUGACAUUAGAAAUUACAACUUUUAUAACAAUGACAUUUCUAUAUUUAAUUUGCUUAUGAUAUUGAAACAAAAUGCCAGAAAAUAUACAAUACAAUUUUGCUUUCUCUACUUGCUAGAGCAACUACUUGUUGAGUCAUCAUCAAACUAGGAGCUAUCUGUGUACUUGUCCUCCUGUAUUAAGUUUUCAGAAGCAAGCGUCUUGUUGACUGUAGUUCCAUCUACAUCAUUUCUAACCCAACUAAGAUAGUCAUUUGUAUCGCUUAAUAAACUUGCAAGAUCUAUAUUAUAUGGCUCACUAUCAUAGUAUGUGUUGUCGUCAGCUUCACCAAUUCCAGCACUACCAAUAUCAAACACAUCUCUAGGUUUUGUCUUAACAACAGUGAGCCAAUCUGUGCCCUUUCCACCAAAUUGCAAUUUACCGAGACAAACACUCCCCCAGUGAAAAGAAGGGGUUGGGAAUUUCUAUUUAAAUGCAUUUAGAAAAUUGCAAUAAUAGCAUGGAGCCAACAAAUUACAGAAUCAUAUACAGCACCAGGCAGGGAUUAGAGUUAGCAGAUAAUAGAAUAUGUACAAUUAUUUGGUAUUGAACAUCCUACAGAAUGAGCAAAUAAUCCAGCAAACAUGAGAUUAAGGGCCACUCAACACAUUUCAGAAUCAAAGAAAUAGCACAACCACAUAAAGAUCAAGAACAUACAAAUGAGUCAAGCUGACAACUAGGAAGAAGCAAUGAUAUACGCAGUUUACUAACCAACAGAAAUACAACAACCUAUCUGAAGAAUGGAUAUAGCUCUAGGAAAGGAAACUCCCCUAUGCCAAAUUGGUCAAAAGGUGGAAUUGCAUUUAGAAUUAGCUAUGGAUAAUCCACUACUUUGUGGAUUAUCCUAUAUUAGAAAAUUAAUCAAAAGAUUCAAAACCCAGAAUAACUUUACCAAAAAUACAACAACCAAAGAACAAAAACAAAAAAAACAAAAGGUUAACUUAACAAAACCUAUCAAAUUACAAACCUAAAUUAGAGCAUUAAUCACAACUCCACAAAUUCACAAAAUACAACCCAAAUCUCAACUAAUCAACCAAAUUCAUACUAGUAGAAGAAACAAGAGAAAUCCAGUCAAAACUUACUACAUCUCACCCAAAUAAAUAAAUAAAUAAAACAUUAAACCUAGAAAAACCUAAAUUAGAACAUCAAUCAAAUCCCAGUAUAUCUUUACCACCAAAAAAGCACCGACGAAAUUCAAAUCUGAACCCAAAAUAAUAAUCAGAAAUUCAUACCAGGAGGAGUCGAAGCCGAUCUAUCGCGCACCACAAAGAGAGCUCACCUACGAGAGAUCAGAGUCGGAGAGCGAGAUCAGAGUCGGAGAGGGAGAUUGGUGUCCGAGAGGGAGAGAGAGUGUUGAGGGAGAGAGAGGGGGUCUGAUCGUGAAGAGAAGGGGGCGUGGUGGGGGGAGGGGGUUUGCGCGGCGGAGUGGGGUGUGCGUGAGGUGGGGAGGGGUCUUUUUCUUUUUUGUUUUUGGGGCAGGGUUUUAGUUGGAUGAAACAUUUCGUUUGGGUUGAGUUUUAGUUUGAAUCAAAAAUUUUUUGUUUGAGUUUUAGUUUGAAUCAAAUAUUUAAAAAAAAAUAAUGCUAAAUCUACAAUCAGAAAGUGGUCGUAAUUUUAUAAGUUCACUAUAAUUUUAUAACUUUUUUUAUUUUAAUACCAGAAUCCAUAUAUUACAUAUUUGUACCUUUAAAAAAUAAAAAAAAUAAUAAAAAAAUUAAAAAAAUUCUCAAUCAUUAUAUUACUUUAUACCGGCGGUUUAUAACUGUUAUAAUAAUUAGUUAAAACCGCUGCUAAAAUAUUUUUGCGAGCGCUUAUGUUAAGUGUUAUUAAAUUAACUGUCGUCCUAAAUCAAGUUUUUUGUAGUGGCGGAAGGUCGACCUCGUCUUGGUCGCCACCCCUUGCAGGGAUCCGUAGGAAACUAUUUAAGUACAAUAAUAAUGACAUGCAUAAGCAUCCNGUUUAUGGAUUUUAGUUAGUACGUACUUGUAGUUAUGUUAUGUUAUCUAUUUAGAAUAAAGUUAUUCGGUUUACGUAUGCGUAAUAUAUAACGAGUUAGAAUGAUAGAAUAAAAGAAGCUCUUUAAAACCUCUGCAUGGUUUCAACCAUUCCUAGAGCAAGUGGCAAAGGGCUUGGUGGUUGGUACCCGAGAUCUUAAGUUCGAAUCCUAAUUAAUUCACAUUUCCAGCUAAAUUUAUUUUCUAAAUGAAAUAAACGAAGCGGGUAGCGUGUUACCUAUCUCUUUCUCUCAAAAAAAAAAAAAUCAUCAAAAAGUUUAAUUAGUGUGAAAUAUGAGUUGCAACACAGUAGUAAAGAAACUUCAUCUAAAAGGAAAAAAGAAAAAUAAUCCUUUUCUUCAACAUUGCCUAGUUUACAAAACCAUAAGGUAAAGAAUAAUUUGGAAGAAAGCAAGAAAAAAAAUACAAAAAAAAAACUUAAUUAGCUAUAGUGUAAAAGAAAUUAAACAUAUUAUGAGGACUGAGAUUUUGGCAGUGUAGCUAAACUCUCUGUUGAUAUUAUUUUUGUGUGUAAUUUAAUUAUAUAAGCACUCAUCAAGUUUCGAGAGAAAAUAAGUUAGGAUGGAGAAGUUACGCGACCUGUACUAAUCACUUAAAGUGAAUAGUAGUAACUCCGGUUUUCCGAAGAAGCCAAUGAGUGGAGAUGGCUUCUGAUGCAUAUUUGACUCUGUUCAUAGUGAUCCAAUAGCUCGUUUUCAAUGGUUCGACUGGCCUGAACCCAAUGGCACUGACAGAUUUGGAUUUUGACGCACGAUUUUCGAGAAAAAGGGAUUUUAUUAGAUUUACACAUUUAUAUAUGUGUGUGGUUUUUGGUAAUUGAAGAGUGGAUGAGUUUCGUUGCAAAUCGGCGAUCAUAUCGGGCGAAAUGAAAUUGCGAGUUUGAUACCCUGGUCAUGCUGAAUGCGCUGGCGCAGUCCGUUCGUAAAUAUGACGGACGGAUCUUCCAAAAAUUCAUAAUGUUUGCUAAAGGGUCGAUUUUGGCAAAACAGAAAAUCCGCAAAACACCUUAUAUUUUACGUACCGUUUUGAGUGAUUUCGAGCAAGGAGGUACAUCUGUGCGAUUUACUCAUGCCGUGAAGGACUCAGUAUGAAAUUCUGAGUCUUCGGGGACUUUUGCGCAAAAUUGCAAUUGGUAUAUAUGUUGCGAUCUAGGGUUUUCUUAGCCUAACCCUAGACCUUUAGCUCCCUCAGCUGACCUCCCCAGCCGCCAAGCACCUUCCCCUACCCUCGCCGCACGCGCCCCGGCCGUCGGCGCGCGCCUCCGGCCGCCGGAAUGGGCUACAUUGCUUCUCCUCCACCAACUUGCCACCAUCCCUGCCGUGGACCACACGGAAGGAUCCCCAUACCUGGGCUUCCUCCCUUGGCCUUGCUCGACCUCCGGCAGCCUCGACCGCCGGUCACCGCCGCCCCCGCGCGCUGGCAUUGCCAGUCUGGGCAGCUUGCGGCCAGCCUACGCAGGCACUGGCCGAGACCAGGGCAGUUGCUGGCCUGCGCGUCGCUGCUGCUUUGUGCCGGCCGCCCCGCCUCCCUCCGGCCUACGGCGAACCCUCGCCGUUGCCCCGGAGCUCCCCCGGCCGUCGUUACCUCGUGAGCCCGAGGCCAAGUGUACAUGUGCGACCUCGGCCUCUCCCAACGCCGCUGCGCCUCCUACCGCCGCCGGCCGGCGUGAGCCCCGAUCCUCCUCGGUCGGCCGCACCCGGUUGCCGCCGGCGCUCCUGCCCCCGGAUGCCCCUGUCGGCCGAGCUGGAGCCAGGCUCUCCAUCAACUGUGCGGCUAGGGCAUCGUUGCCCGUCGCCGCCGCCGCCUUUCGUCGCCGGCCGACGCGCACCCCAGCCUUUUUCCGUCGGCUGCACCUGCUUGCCGACGUCGCGCCCGUCGCCCGGCCGUUGCUGGCCAGCCAUAGCUUCACCUUGCCAGUUCAAAAGGAGAGAGAUAGAGAAGCUCAAGUCGGCAAAGAACUUCCAACUUCUUCAAAUCAAGCAAAGCUGAUAAGAAUAGAGUAUAAUGUGCUCUCUCAUUUACGAAAAGUCCCAAGACUUCUGAGUGUUUACGACGCCCUUAGAACUCAGCGAAGUGUUGAUCUAUGCUCUCCAAAAUCCUGAGCUCUUUCAUGCAUUCUUCGCCGAGACAAGUAUGAAGGAGGCGCUAUACCUCGUUCACUCGGCCAAUAUCACUUUUACAGAAAAGGAUUUAUUAAUAGGGACAACGCAUCAUUAUCGACCGUUAUAUAUGACCGGCACAAGUGACGGAGAAAGGAUGAACCACAUUUUAAUUGACCCUGGAUCUUCUGUGAACUUAAUGACGUUAAAAACUCUAAAGAGUCUGGCAAUGGAUGUCGGCUAUUUAAACUUAGAAAAAGUCGCAAUUCAAGGGUUCAACCAACACAGUCAAAAAGCCCUCGGGUCUAUUACCCUUCCGAUAAGGUUUGGGAAGUUGCAAACUUAGGCAAAAUUUUAUGUUAUCAAUGAAAAUACUUAAUAAGUUAUUGUUAGGAAGGCCUUGGUUGCAUAAAUAUCACGUAGUUCCGUCUACCCUUCAUCAGUGCUUGAAAUAUAUAAAAGAUGGUGAGAAAUAUAGAAUUGGUUGUGAUAUUCGACUAUUUGGAGUUCACGAAAUUCGAUAUGAAGAUGCAAGAUAUUUUAUAGAAUCAGAAGAUACAGAAGAAAAUCGUACCCUAUCGAGAGAACAAUCCUCUAAAAAGAAGAAACUUGUAGACGAAAUUAAGAGGGAGUCAACAGUGCCACAUUUCAAAAGUGACCCGGAUAGCUCCGAUCUCGAUGAAGAUGAGUUAUGUUGGGCUAUGAAGCUUCUUUCAAGCAAUUUGAAUACCCUUGAAGUCAAAAGCUCGUGAGAAGAUGAACAUCACUUUACAGCUUAUGUCAGGACUGAUAGAAUGAUUGCAAAAGCCUCUAACCUGGUGGAAGAUACAUUGGCAAUUCUCAAGGUUCCAGAAAAAUGCUACAAACUCAUUUCUGCAAAACGGGUUUCUUUUGUGGAUCAUUUAAAAACUUUUUUGUCCCGCUAAAGAUAGAAAAUAUUGAAGGAAUGAGAAUAGUAAAAAGAGGAAUCCUUUUUUAUAAAUCAGACGAUCAAAAAUCCACUGAUGUCAUCAAACCGGAGGAUUAUGAUAAUGAUAUAUACGAGGAUAUAGAAAUUCCAAAUUAUUUCUCAGCUAGCUUGAAAAAGAUGAUACACAAGUUAGGUUGCCCCACAAGGAGGUCUUGGGCCAACCACAAAGUCCUUUAACGAAUAUGGAAUCCACCUCAAAGAAGAUCCGUACUCCCAAAUGGCAAAUCUAGCAAUACAAGAGGCCUAGGAUGUUACAAAAGUUCCACUUACCAAGAUAUCUAUACCUGUAAUAUGAUCAAUGCAAAUGAGGAUAUUGCUGAACAUUUGGUCGAUGAACAAAAAUCUCUUGAACCAAAAGAUGCAUCUCAAGAGCUUGAAGAUGGGGGAUAAGCAACUGUAGACGAACUUCUCGAGAUAAAUCUGGGGACAGAAGAAGACCCCAGACCCACUUAUAUAACUGCACUAGUUCCAGAAGAAGAACAAGAGAAGCUAAAGGCAUUGCUAACAGAAUUUAAAGAUUGCUUUGCGUGGAGUUAUAAAGAAAUGCCAGACCUUAAUCCAGAGGUGGCUGUUCACAAGCUAGCUAUAGAUUCUCAAGCUCAUCCAGUCAAACAAGCACCUAGGAGGAUGAGGGUGGAUCUAGAAGAGCAAAUAAUUGUGGAAACCAAAAAGCUCAUUGAGGCAGGCUUUAUAAGGGAGGAGAAAUAUGCUAACUAGACUGCUAGCAUUGUUCCGGUCAAGAAGAAGAAUGGCCAAAUUCGUAUAUGCGUCGAUUUUCGGGACUUAAAUAAAGCUUGCCCAAAAGAUGACUUUCCAUUACCAAUAACGGAACCAAUGAUUGACAAUAUCUCAAGUUGCGAGCUAUUCUUGUUUAUGGAUGGCUCAUCAAGAUAUAAUCAAAUCAAGAAGGCGCCGGAGGACGAGAAGCAUACUGCAUUCAAAACUCCUAUUGGGAUAUAUUGUUAUAAAGUCAUGCCUUUCGGCCUCAAGAAUGCCAAAGCUACAUAUCAGCGGGCAAUGACUAGAAUAUUUGAUGAUCUACUCCACAAGACAGUGGUGCUAUGUCGAUGAUUUGGUUGUGAAAACAUAGAACAAAGAAAAUCACUUCCAAGAUCUAACCACUGUCUUCACCCGAUUGAGAGAGUAUCAGUUAAAAAUGAACCCGCUCAAAUAUGCAUUCGGAGUCUUUUCUGGUAAAUUUUUAGGGUUCAUUGUAAGGCAUAGCGGAGUAGAAAUCGAUCCUUCAAAAAUUAAAGCUAUUAUGGAGAUGCCUCCUCCAAAGGAUUUAAAACAACUUCGAUCCUUUAAGGAAAGAUUAGCAUAUAUCAAGAGAUUUAUUUCAAAUCUCUUGGUAGGGUCAAACCUUUCUCCAAACUAGUAAAGAAGGAUGCACUAUUUGUCCGGGACAUAAAAUGCCAAACAGCUUUCAAAGGCAUAAAAGGAUACUUAAUGAAUCCACCAGUACUCGCAGCCCCGAUACACGACAAACCCUUGAUAUUAUACACUGCAGCUCAAGAUGGGUCAUUGGGACCACUUUUGGCGCAAAAUAAUGAAGAAGGAAAAGAACAAGCUCCAUACUAUCUCAGUAGGAUGUUUGUGGGGGCAGAAAAUUCAUACUCACCAAUAGAAAAGCAUUGCUUAGCUCUUAUAUUUGCUGUCAAGAAGCUGAGGUAUUAUAUGCUCGAGCACAAAAUUUACUUAGUAUCAAAAGUCGAUCCGCUCAAAUUUUUAAUGACAAAACCCGUCUUGACUGGAAGGCUAGCAAAAUGGACAAUUAUCCUUCUAGAAUUUGACAUCACCUACAUACCACAAAAGGCUGUCAAGGAGCAAGCACUCGCUGAUUUUUUAGCAGCACACCCAGUACCUGACGGUUCAUCUUUGGUGUGCGAUCUACCAGAUAAAGAGGUAUUACUUGUUGAUGUUGAACAACCAUACUGGGAUAUGUAUUUCGAUGGAGCAUCUUUUAUUGAACCUGCAUAUAGCCCGGGUAUUCCGCAAGUAAGGGCGGGUGUCGGUCUAAUUUUUGUGACGCCAGAAAGAGGAAUCUUGUGGUACUCUCUAGCGCUUUCUGAUCCUCGUACAAAUAAUGAAGCUGAAUAUGAAGCCUUAAUUGCGGGACUAGAAAUAGCCAUCUUUAUGAAUAUACAACGGCUACACAUCUAUGGGGACUCUUAGUUAAUCAUUAAUCAAGUGAUGGGCGAAUAUAAAGUCUACAAGCCGGAAUUGACCAAAUAUCAGAAAAGGGUGCAAGAACUCAUAAAGGAAAUACCAAAUGUCACGCUGGAAAGGGUCUCUCGAGCUGUAAAUGGGAAAGUUGAUGCCCUAGCUAGAUUGGCUAAGGAGCUAGCUUAUCCCAAUCUUGAUGAAGUCCAUGUUACUAUCAAGAAUAGAAAGAUCCUGUCACCUACGAACUUAAAUCUCGAAGAAGAAUCUAAAGAAAUCCAGAAGGCAAAUGCGCUAAAAAUUGAAGUGGAAGAUGAUUGGAGGGAGCCUUUCAUUAAUUAUUUUAAACACAACAAACUCCCUGAAGAAAAGCCAAAACAAGUUAAGUUGAAAAAGGGGGCGAUGCAGUAUGCUUUCGUGAAUGAUACCUUCUAUAGAAGGUCUUAUGAUCAGUUAUGGUUGAGAUGUAUAUCACCAGAAGAAAUAAAACAGGUUAUGCAUGGAGUUCAUUCGGGUGUAUGUGGUGCCCACCAAUCUGGUCCCAAGAUGCGCCUCAAGAUUAAACACUUGGGCUACUAUUGGCCCACAAUGGUUCAAGAUUGUAUGGAAUAUGCUAGGAAAUGCCACCAAUGCCAAGUCCAUAGCGAUUUUAUUCACCAACAUCCGAACCCUUUACACCCAACAAUUACCUCUUGGCUGUUUGAUCUGUGGGGAACAGAUGUUAUAGGGCCAAUUAAUCCUUCCUCAUCCUGAGGGUACAAAUUUAUUCUCGCAGCAAUAGACUACUUCUCUAGAUGGGCUGAGGCUAUUCCUUUGAGAGAAGUUAAAGCGGAUAAUGUCAUAAAAAUUUUUAGAGAAAAUAUUUUGAACCGUUUCGGAGUUCCUCGUCGAAUUAUCUCUGACAAUGGCUCAGCCUUCAAAAGCUUUAAAGUUAGCAGAUUUGCCUCCCACCAUAAAAUCGACUGGCGAUAUUCGUCAAUUUAUAAUCCAAGAGCUAAUGGUUUGGCCGAAACUUUCAAUAAGACCCUGGUUAAACUUUUAAAGAAAAUUAUUGGUAAAAAUAAGAGGAAAUGGCACGACAAGAUUUCAGAUGCGCUCUGGGCUUACCGAACAACUUUUAAGACCCCCACUCAAGCCACACCUUAUUCUUUGAUUUUCAAAACUGAAGCUGUCCUUCCUCUGGAAAUAGAGCUGCCAUCACUAAUGUCACGCCCCAAGACCGCCAAUUUGGUCGGUUCGGAUCCGUACACAGACGCCGAACGAACAGAACCUCCUCUGUUCGCUUAAGGCUCAACAACAACAACUAAACAUGUGUAAUGAAAUGCCCAGAAAAAAAUUCAAUAUACAUGGCUCACACGAAGGUAAGCAACACAAGAAAGUGAAAGUAAACUAACUAAAUCAUUCAUGCAUUGUAUCUUGAUUACUUUAAAUCAAAUACAAAUCUUGCAUAAUUAUUACAUUCAUUCUUCCAACAUAUACAUCUGCCAUCUAUCAAAUGAAUAAUUUACAUUUGCUUUCAUCAACUAUAAAUAGAUGAAAUGUAUAAGGUACAACUAUACUCAAUGGAUGUAUGCUAUCUAUAGAGCGCUGUCCAAGUCACGAUCCUCAACCACCCGCACUAGCUAGAACCUGCAUGGUUAGUGGGGUGAGAACUACUGAAAGUUCCCAGUAGGUUCGGUUGCCGACCUCGCCGUCUCCCCCACUAGGUUUACUCAGGCAUAUGUUGAAAAGAAAAAGAACAGAUAGUAACUAACUAUAUUAUGUAGCUACUACAAUGCCUGUACAAAGCUGAAAGAAACAAUAUAUAACAUGUGAAAUUUAUGCAUGCCUGCUAUCAUAUACUAUUACCCAAUCAAUCUGGUUAACCAUUUGGUUAACUAUAACUCACCAACUCAAUCCCUACUAUCGGGGAGACGUCUGCUACAACUCGACGGGACCGUUUACUGGGGAGCACAUACUUGCUUCCCACCCAGUUGAUGACCACUCCGAAGCUCAUCGCCCAAGGAGGAGCGACCUUACCUCGAGUAUUAGACUAAUAUGAGUAUGAUCCAAUCGUCAUUUUGAGGAUACAAUGACAAUGCCACACUUUAACUAGCUCUUUAUGCUAGGUUUACAUGUUCAACUCUGAUUGCUAAUCAAUUCAUCUAGUUCUAAUGCCACACAUUUUACAAGUUCAUUGUUCUUGUUUAACAUUCACAAUACUUGAUGCCACUCAUGCCGUCUAUUCAUAAUAUCACUUGUUAACUAUUGUCAUAGUCAAUCCUUGUUCAUACAACUAUAGGGUUCUAUGUUUACUAUCCACUGUUCACAAGUAUUUUGCUUCCAAAGCAUUCAAUUAGACCACAUGUCAUAUAUCAAACUCAACCCUAUAAUGCAUGAAUAUCACUAAACAUAUACAUUACAUGUAUGCUCAAGAAAGACGACAUAAACAUAAUAGGCCAUUUGAUGACUUCGGAAAGCACCACCCAUCUUUAAAUGAUGCCAAGAUGCGAGAAAACUACUUCCCGCGAUUUAUGAAUGAUCCAAACCUUCGCUCGCGACAAACGAAGCUAAAAUGAGAUUUUUUCCUAACUAGCUUGCCGUAAGCUCGUCGGAACGCCGAUCUGAGCUUUCCAACGCGUCGGUUUUAUCCCCAAUUAGGUUUCUACACGAUCAAUACCAAGCUAGGCCUUUAAUCCUACAAGAUUGCGUUUUUAAGCUUUAGCUUAAUAAAAACUGUUUCUUUAUAGGUUUUAUAAGAACCUAUAGAUUAAUCCAAAUCUUAAUAACCCAAGAACCUCAAAACUAAAUAGUUUAGAGGAUUUACAUCAAUUCCUAACCAAAAAUCUGCAGGAUACUUGCUUUACUCCCAGCUGCCAACCUUCAUACAUGAUAUACAUAGCUUUUCUAUAAUUUUCAUGGCAACUUCAAGCCUUAGCAGCCCAAUAAACCCAAACUAAAUCCUCUUUAGAGUAGUCACAAUAAUCCCUAACAAAGAGAUCUCACAAACUUACCUCAGGUUUCAGGUUUUAACAAGUUACUUCUCAGCUGCCAACAUCCACAUGUAGGCUAUCCAUAGUGCAAUUACCAGCUUUCUACAUAGCAAUUUAAACUCCUAUAUGUUGUGAGCCUAUGAUUUUCUCUAAGGUCUUUCAUGGCAAAUAGGCUCUAUAGCAAUUAGAAACUCUAGUAAUCAAGAAUUCCAUUGUUUCACUCUUUUUUAUAGCAUAAAUAACAUCACUCUAACCAGGAAUGCACCUCACCUAGCCUCAAAUUUCGGCUACCAACUGAAUUCACAUAGUUCUACUAGGUUUCUUCAUAGAAUAACAUGCUAAUGGCAAGUUCUAAUCUGUAAUAGACCCAAAACUCAACCCUUUAUAUAUAAAAUAGACAUCAUAAGCCUAACCAAAAACAGCAAGCCUACCUCAAAUCUCAGCUUCAACCGGUUGCUUUCCUACUCCUAAAGCUCCUUCUCAGUUCAAAACUGCACUUUCAUCAAGAGCUUUCUUCAAACCCAUCCAUCGUUGGUUUAGACAGAGAGGAAGAAAGAAGUGAGAAGAAAAGAAAAGAGAGAGAGGUGGAUACAUAUGGAAGCUAUUGGAGGGUUGCUGGUUUAGAGAUAAGACCAGACAAAUGCCAAAAAUCCCUCCACAAAACAGGAAUUAACUCUUCUACAAAGCAGGAAUUCUGUUUAUAAAAUAGUCCCUGCAGCUUUUACAAAACAGUCUCUGCAGUUUCUUUUUGCACUUGACGGCGGCAGUAGCAGCAGCACUCAGCAGUAGCAGCAGCAAUUGCUCCUACGCCCUCACACAAUGCUGAAAUUUUGUUUUUACAUAUUGGUCCCUGCAGUUUUUUUUUAGUGCAAAAUCUGCACUUAGUGGCAGCUGGCAGCAGCAACAGCACACUCCGAAAUCGUUUUCUCGCAUCCACUACGUUCCGAACAUCUUCAAAUACUUCUAACACAUGCCCUUAUCAAUCCCCACGCCACCAAUUUAGCUAGGAAAUACCAAUUUACAUUCUUACAUUACUUUGAUCACUUUGAUCAAAGUUAGCUUCAGCUUCGGAGAUUCGAUAUAUGGUAUUCUAAACACCUUCAAAAUCUACCAUUAACCAUCCUCACACUUCCAAAAUAAUUAGGGAAUGUCACAAAUUAUACAUAUGCCUCACUUUGACCCAUUCAAUCAAAAUUAGCAUCGCAAUCCAAAAACUCUCUUUCGAGUUCAUUUCGCAUCCAAUUUGCACCGAAACAAUCAAUUACUUCCCAAAAUCAUUCCCACACCUCCAGAAUUACUCGGGAAAGAUGCACGUCCAGUUCAAACUUCACUUUGAUCCCCUAGAUCAAAGUUAGCAUUGUAACCUGAAAAUUUUCGUAUAUUACAAUCUCCUCCCGUUAACAAGAGUUUCGUCUGUGAAACUUAAAUACAUCUAUAGGCUCCUCUAUUCCUACUAAUGAGAAUAGUUUUCCACAUUACUUUUUUAAGUUUCAAAGGGUUUUAUACUCAAUACGUGUACUCCACUGCAUUAAUCUGAAGGCAAAAUAGUAAUGUGGAACUACUAUAUGCAAAAUAGUGUAAUUCUACAAUCUCUCAUUACAUUAAUUUGAAGGCAUAUCAAGUACUCUAUCCAUUCUUACUUUAGGGUGAAUGCCUUAUGCACAAUUAUGUAACAAAUUUGAAACAUGAUACUUAUUGUGCAAUCUUUCAACAUCAGUUGCCAUAUUUUUUAUAUUUCACCUUACCUAUACCUGAUGACAACAUCCCAAAAUGUCGCUUUCCAUUCUAACUCAAUAAUUCGUUUGCACACAGAACGGCGUACUCCUGUUACCACAUUCCUUCUAGGUAAAUUUUUUUUACCUUUACUGAUCAUGACUACAACACUCUUGAUUCCAGAGUGAUCUUUUCACUUAUCCUGCCCUCAUGAAUAGGGACUAAUCCAACUCUCAUUUAGGUAACAUACCUCAAACUGGCACUUGUUUCACAUAAUCAACACUUGUGCAAACUGUUUAUCAUACCCGUGUCAUCGUCAACUAUCAUUAUUGCCCCAAUUAUUCCUUGGUGAAACACACUUUGGUUUCCGACCGGCAUCGCUACAUGCGAUAUCUGAGCACAUCAUUCAAUCGCGAGUGCUCAACCACCCACGAGUUUCCACUCCUCAAUGAGAUGAUUCAUUCUAGCACAUCCAUCAACUCUAAUGAUUUGAGGCAUAGUCCUCUAAGAUCUCACGUGGCUUUCACUACACAACAAUCUCAAAAGAAUACUUUAUUUUACCAGCCACGUUCCACGCUAUAUCGACUUCUCAUCAUAAAUCUCGAUGAACACUUUGAUCAUGUCUCUAAUCUCAACUCAUCAUCAGCGCUUAAUUCGGCGAUUCAAAAUAGAUGAACAGUAGUACCGAGCCUUCGCUCACAAUGUCACUACUCUCGAUCCAUUGGGAUAAUUUCAACAUCUUCACUUCCGAAACAAUUGGCUAAACCUUUUGCCUCGAUUACUACAAGUGGUCCAUAACCAUCGAUCCGACAUAGGCCUAUCACCUAACACGAUCACAAUAUCACUCAGCGUAUCUUGCUCGCAAGCGUAGACCCAAUCAUCACAAGGCAGAGUCCUCAUUUGAGACCUCACACACCUACUCCAACCAGGAGCAAUUCAAAUCCCGAAUCACUACAAAUCUUAGGGUUGGUCAAACUUACACUUUCGGUACAUCACUAAUCACUCGAUCAAAUACGUGGCACACCACGUCUCCAGAUCCAAGCUCGGACUACCAUCUUGACCGAAAUCUCUGCCCUAUCCACAAAUAUCGGGCCGCUGCCACACAAAGCUAACUGCGCGUAUCCAAAUGGCCCUAGGCCUCACAGCGCACGCAUGGCCCAGGCACAGAUCAUCCAUAAGCAAUAUCCAUAAUCGUCGUCACCCACAACAUGCUCACAAAGCAACCCACAUCUUUAUUGGCUCUUACGCAUCUAGUGCGAGCCACCAGCGCCACGAGUGAUCCAUGACACACUUCACACUUAGCAACGCUCAAGUGCUACUGCCAACACACUCUCGACUGAGUCACAAUCCACACUCUACGGACACCUACACUUAAGCGUCCUACACCAUCACAUUUUUCACUAAACAUCACACGCUAGGCAACUCAACCUAUGCCCACAAUACACAAACACAAAUUCCCUCAUCUAUUUGAGGUACAACCCGACUAACUCGCCAAAACCAAGCGAUCGUCUAACCAACUUACGCACUAAGGACGCUAUUACCACUACGCGAUCCAUCAGAAUAUCAUUCGAAUUCUCGAGCUUUAGAGCGUCUUUCAACGCUCUGACCUGACUUUCACUAUCACUUUUAAUACCUAAAAAGGUCAGUUCACCAGUUCCAUUUGCAUUCUGAGCCCUAACAUUGGCUCACUACAAACCACUCAUUGGCACCAUCCAACUACCUAUUCAAACAAUAGGCGGUACAUUUCUACCAUCUACAUAUGCUAGGGUAUUAUCCACCCAAACCUAAGUCUCUAUAACAUUCUUGCACGUACUACUCGGAGUUCACAUCAUCCUCAAGCACACAGCCUUCUCAUAGGAGUCAAUCUACAACCGUUCUCAUUCUGCUUUCUGUGCCACAAAGCCAGGAUGCCACAUUACCUGACUUCACAGCCUUUUGAAGCUCAUUGAUCCAAUCCGCAAAACACAAGACAGCCUCCUGCUAACAUUGCAUCACAAUAACUCACCGCCACAGCACUACCACGAGUGUGGUCAACCUAUCCUAGAGCUUCAAGUUUCCUCCAAGCUCGGUCAGUUCAGGGACUUCACCAAUCCCAAACCACAUCGACCUCCUUAGAGAUCGGCUACACAAUACCACUAAACACACAACAACUUAACUAAUUUUUGACCUUCAAGGUGAAACACGAAACGACUAUCGUCAAUCCAUACUCAAAUCAGGCGAAAGUCAUACAAGGGAGCCUAUUCUCAUCACUCAGUUUCAUGUUGUUGCGCACCAACAUGAACACACCCUGUUGAGAAUAAAUUACACCUUGGAUUCACCUCUAACAUCCUUUUUAGACGUAUACAACACACGACCCAAUCGGUUUAACCUUUCACCACAUAUCAAGAUUCUCAUCUCUUAUGAACCUAGAUCCUUAUGGUUUUCCAUCCUAAGGUCCCUAGGUCCAUCCUAUACUUUCACAUGCAUUGCUCUAAUACUAUUUAAUCUGUCACGCCCCGAGACCGCUAAUUUGGUCGGUUCGGGUCCACACACAGAUGCCGAACGAACAGAACCUCCGCUGUUCGCUUAAGGCUCAACAACAACAACUAACAUGUAUAAGAAAAUGCCCAGAAAAAAUUUCAAUACAUGGCUCACAUGAAGGUAAGCAACACAAGCAAGAGAAAGUAAACUAACUAAACCAUUCAUACAUUGUAUCUUGAUUACUUUAAAUCAAAUACAAAGCUUGCAUAAUUAUUACAUUCAUUCUUCCAAUAUAUACAUUUGCCAUCUCUCAAAUGAAUAAUUUACAUUUGAUUUCAUCAACUAUAAAUAGAUGAAAUAUACAAGCUACAACUAUACUCAAUGGAUGUCUGUUAUCUAUGGAGCGCUGUCCAAGUCACGAUCCUCAACCACCCGCACGAGCUAGAACCUGCAUGGUUAGUAGGGUGAGAAUUACUGAAAGUUUCCAGUGGAUUCGACUGCCGAACUCGCCGACUCACCCACUAAGUUUACUCAGGCAUAUGUAGGAAAGAAAAGGAACAGAUAGUAACCAACUAUAUCAUGUAGCUAAUACAAUGUCUGUACAAAGCUGAAAGGAACAAUAUAUAACAUGUGAAAUUGAUGCAUGCAUGCUAUCAUAUUCCAUUACCCAAUCAAUCUGGUCAAGCCUUAGCCGCUCAAUAAACCCAAACUAAAUCCUCUUUAGAGUAGUCACAAUAAUCACUAACAAAGAGAUCUCACAAACUUAUCUCAGGUUUCAGGUUUCAACAAGUUACUUCUCAGCUACCAAUAUCCACAUGUAGGCUGUCCAUAGUGCAAUUCCCAGCUUUCUACAUAGCAAUUUAAACUCCUAUAUGCUGUCAGCAUAUGAUUUUCUCUAAGUUCUUUCAUGGCAAAUAGGCUUUAUAGCAAUUAGAAGCUCUAGUAAUCAAGAAUUCCAUUGUUUCACUCUUUUUUAUAGAGUAAAUAGCAUCACUCUAACCAGAAAUUCACCUCACCUAGCCUCAAAUUUCAUCUACCAACUGAAUUCACAUAGUUCUACUAGGUUUCUUCAUAGAAUUACAUGCUAAUAGCAAGUUCUAAUCUCCAAUAGAUCCAAAACUCAACCCUUUAUAAAGUAGACAUCAUAAGCCUAACCAAAAACAGCAAGCCUACCUCAAAUCUCGUCUUCAACAGGUUGCUUCCCUACUCCUAAAGCUCCUUCUCAGCUCAAAACUACACUUUCAUCAAGAGCUUUCUUUAAACCCAUCCAUGGUUGGUUUAGAAAGAGAGGAAGAAAGAAGUGAGAAGAAAGGAGAAGAGAGAGAGGUGGAUACAUAUGGAAGCUAUUGGAGGGUUGCUGGUUUAAAGAUAAGACCAGACAAGUGCCAAAGGCCCCUUCACAAAACAGGAAUUAACUCUUCUACAAAGUAGGAAUUCUGUUUACAAAACAGUCCGUGCAGCUUUUACAAAACAGUCCUUGCAAUUUCUUUUUGCACUUGACGGCAGUAGCAGCAGCAGCAGCUCUCGGCAGCAGCAGCAAUAGCAGCAGCAGCAGCAGCACUCAGCAGCAGCAGCAGCAAUUGCUCCUACGCUCUCACACAAUGCUGAAAUUCUAUUUUUACAGAUUGGUCCCUGUAGUUUUUUUUUUUAGUGCAAAAUCUGCACUUAGCGGCAGCUUGCAACAACAAUAGCACACUCCGAAAUCAUUUUCUCGCUUCCACUACGUUUCGAGCACCUCCAAAUAAUUCUAACACAUGCCCUUAUCAAUCCCCACGCCGCCAAUUUAGCAAGGGAAUACCAAUUUACAUUCUUGCAUUACUUUGAUCACUUUUAUCAAAGUUAGCUUCACCUUCGGAGAUUCGAUAUAUUGUAUUCUAAAGACAUUCAAAAUCUGCCAUAACCAUCCUCACACUUCCAAAAUGAUUAGGGGAUGUCACAAAUUAUACAUAUGCCUCACUUUGACCCAUUCAAUCAAAAUUAGCAUCGCAAUCCAAAAACUCUCUUUCGAGUUCAUUUCGCAUCCAAUUUGCACUAAAACAUUCAAUUACUUCCCAAAAUCAUUCCCACACCUCCAGAAUUAUCCGGGAAAGAUGCACGUCCAGUUCAAACUUCACUUUGAUCCCUUAGAUCAAAGUUAGCAUUGUAACUUGAAAAUUUCAGUAUAUUACAACUAAGGAUGGCGGUUCAAUACGAAAUGACAAACGAAGAAAAUAUUCUUUUGAGACUCGAUGAAUUGGAUUCAAUGGAUGAAAUGCGAUUGGCUGCGCAAUAGAACCUAAAACUUUAUCAGUCUCAAAUGUCAAGGGCUUACAACAAACUAGCACAUGUCCGAACUUUUCAGGGAGGAUAUUUAGUACUAAUUCACUGACGGCCUAUAAUUAUAAACAAAUAUGCUGGGGGCAAAUUUGAUCCAAAUUGGGAAGGUUCCUAUGUUAUAGAAAAAGUGAGGGAGGAACUUAUCAAUUAAUCGAUGCAAAAGGAGAAAUGCCGAAGCCACCGAUCAACGGACGAUUUUUGAAGAAAUACUAUCCGUAAAAAAAAAAAAAAGGAUAAAAGAAGAGAAAUCCGGCUAUGAAUAAAUUUCACGGGCAAAAAUGGAAUCCCUGCUGUGAGAAAACCUGCAUUUGGCUCACAGGCAAAAGUUAGGGGAAAGGUUUCUAGCAAAAACCCUCAUAGGCGCAGUUUCCAAUAAACCUAAAAUCCACACUUUUUUCUGCCGAUGAUGGAAUGCUAACUCACCCUUUGGAGUCGGUUAUGCGCAGCAAUCUCGAUAUACCGAGUUGCUUACGGAGGCCAAAUAAACUCAACAAUAUUCUUUGUUUUCCCUGCCGACGAUGGAAUGCUAACUCACCGUUUGGGGUCGGUUAUGCGCAGCAAUCUCGAUAUACUGAGUUGCUUCCGGAGGCCAAAUAAACUCAACAAUAUUCUUUGUUUCCUCUGUCGACGAUGGAAUGCUAACUCACCCUUUGGUAUUGGUUAUGUGCAGCAAUCUCGAUAUACCGAGUUGCUUCUGGAGGCCAAAUAAACUCAACAAUAUUCUUUGUUUUUCUUGCCGAUGAUGGAACGUUGACUCACCCUUUGGGGUCGAUUAUGCACAGCAAUCUUGAUAAACCGAGUUACUUCCGGAAGCCAAACAAACCCAAGAAAAUUCAAUUUUCCUUUAUUGCCGACGAUGGAAUGCUAACUCAUCUCUUCGGGGUCGAUUAUGCGCAGUAAUCUCGAAACACAGAAUUGCUCCUGGAGGUCAAACAAACUCAACAAAAUUCUUUAUCUUUCGCGCCAAUAAAAAAAAAUACUAGUUCAGCAUGUGAGGUUGAAUGUGCAAACAGAUAUCAGCAAACUGACUUUUUUCCCAAAAAAAAAGAAAAAAAGCAAAGAGAGAAUAUGUGAAAGGAAGAGAUAAUAAAAAGGGUUUGCACCUUUUUCUGCUCGCAAAAACACUCGCAGCAAAAGGUGGGGGGCAUUUUGUUUGAGUAAAAAAAAAAAGAAAAAUAAAAAAUAAUAAUAAUAAAAGGGGAAGAAAUGAAAAAAAAAGAAGAAGGAAAGAUAUAAAGAUUAAAAAAAAAAAAUCCCACCUCUUUCCAAAAAAAAAAAAACAAAGGAAAGAAAAGAUUCUAAGAAAAAAGAGUAAAAAAAAUCCAUAUCUUAUAUGGUCAAGGUACCAUUCCUUUUUGAAUUCUUUUUUGAAUAGUUUCCCAAAAAAAAAAAAAAAAGAAAAAGAGAAGUCAUUAGAGUUUAAUAUAAGUUGGCCUCUUUAAAAAAAAAAAAAAAAAAAAAANNNNNNNNNNNNNNNAAGGAGAGAGAACCGAAAGAGAAGAAAAAAAAAGAAGAACAGAAAGAAGAAGAAAAAAGAAAAGAAAAAAGGUGAAAAAAGAAAAGUUUUUUUUUAUACUCUCCCUCCCCCUCUCUCUCUCUCUCUCUCUCUCUCUCGCUCGCUCGCUCGCUCUCGCUCUCUCGCUCUCGCUCUCUCGCUCGGAUGCAUGCAUGAGGAGGGGGAAACCCCCUCCUUGACACGCUAGCAGAGGGAGUGCCAUGUGCACCCCCCCACCCCCUUUGUCCGUACCACAACAAAAGAAAAAAGAAAAAAAAAGGAUUCGGCUCUUGCAUUCGACGACAACGGCGACAACGACAAUCACGACAACUUUUACGACAAUAAGAGAUAUGCAUGCAUACGAAUAGCGUAAGUGCGAUUUUCUUGUCGGUUUGAUCAACCCGACCAUCUUCGUGAUAGGUUUCGAACCGAUCAAAUUUGACAUCAAAUCGUCACAUCCGCCGUGCGUAUGCAUCGCUAAUCUCUAAACCGUGCGGCCAUCUUCGCGAUAGGCUUGACAUGGUCAAAAUGAUUGAUCGAACACCGGAUAUUUUUCUACGUAAAUCGUGCGGCCAUUUUCGCGAUAGGCUCGACAUGGUCAAAAGGGUUGAUCGAGCGGCCAUCUUCGUGAUAGGUUCGACGCAAUCAAGCCUGUUUAUUUUACUACGUAAACCGUGCGGCUAUCUUCGCGAUAGGCUCAACAUGGUCGAAAGGGUGAAUCGAGCGGCCAUCUUCGUGAUAGGCUCAACACGAUUAAACCCCGCGUACUUGAGCAAAACGUGAUAAAAAAAUAUACAAUAAUAAAAAUGAUAAUAAAAAAAAAUGAAUGUAACAUAUCAGAUUUUGGUAUAAAAAUAAAAAUAAAUAAAAAUAGUGUGUGAUACUACUUUUAUUGGAUUUAGAGGAGUAAAACAUAAGUAAGAAGUGACUUGUGCAGAAAUCGGGAUGAAAACAGAAGAUCUAGAAUUUUCUGUUGGAAACGGGACAGAUAAAUUAGCAGAAAAUGCACAGUCUCAGAAAAUUAUAAAAAUUGGAGGAUAAGUCGAAAAUAUUUUUAGGAGGCUAGAUUUAAAGUUUCAUAUUAUUCUGACACCCGUAGAGUGAGAAAUAAAAUUCGAUAGCUAUCUGAUAAAGAUUACAGUUCGGUACAAUUUUCAGUGACCAAACGAGGUCGAAACUGAAAAUUUAAGAUAUAUUCUUACUCAGUACAUUAAACCGAGCCUGCCUGUCAAAUUUGAGCUCAAACGGACAUUCAGAAGGGCUCCAAUUGUUCCGAACUGCUAAACUGCUGCCCGAGGUGAAUAGUGAAUAGUUGAGGGGCUGAUUUGUAAAAAGGGAUUUAAUCCCUUUUCUUCUUCUUCCUCCCAGCCGCACACCACACACGCACACACACAACACACACGCAUGGAAAGGAAAAGAGAACCCUCCUUUCUCUCUCUAAAUCUCUCCCAAAAGAGAGGGUUUUGGUGGAGAUUGAAGCUCAAGGAUGGAUUUUCAUCUUCUCCAUCUUCUUCCUUGCAUGAGAAGCAAGCUUUGAAGGUAAGCUCCAAAACCCUUUAAUGGUGUCUCCUUGUAGUUUGGGUUUUAAGCUUCAAGAAUGGAUUUAGAGCUAUUCUAGCAUGCUAAAGAGAUGAUUGUUGCUUAAAUCAUGGAUCAAUUUAAUGAUUUCUUGCCUAGUUUUAAACCUAGGGCUUGAAAUGAGUUUUUUUGAACCCUCUCAUGGUAGAUCUUUAAAGCUUCAUUUAUAAUCCAUAGAAAUGGUUUAUUUGGAGUCCUAGCAUGCUAAAUAGAGGGUAAAUGUUAGAACCUAGGAUCAAUUUAGUUAAUUCUUGCAAUAGAUGAAACCUAGGGUUCAAAAUGCAAUUUUUGAAAAUAUAAGGGUUUGAUCUAAUUUGACCCUUUGUAAACCUAAUUGCUAGGUAAACAAACGCGUUGGCGAAGUCAGUUCGGCGAUUCGUCGAGCCAUUGCGAAGUUAUUAAAGAAACGGACGUUUAGGCUUCGUUUCCGCCUGGAGGGCCGAGGCGACAUCGUAAACUCAUGAAAAUGGAUUUGAAGCACCGUGGCGCAUAACCGAAGACCCAUAAUUCUCGGUGCCGCGAUUCGACGCACGGUUGGUGAGCAUUAGUAAAGUCGGGCCGAACCGGGUGCCGGGUGCCGUGGGAGGCCGAUUGCAAGUGUCGACAAGCAAUCGGAAUGCGAAAUAAGGUGGGUUGUGCUCACCGAAACGACUAGGUCGCCUAUAUGUCUAAGAGUAAUGGUUCUCUAGUUGAUGCAUAUAGUUGUGUUGGUAGGCUUAUAUAAUGAUAUGAAUGCUUGAAACAUACUAUGUAGUUGAGAUUACCUACCAAUGAGAUGAGAUGCAUAAUGAAUUAAAUACUAAAAGAAUGCAUGAGAUGCUUAGUAUGAACUAUUUUGGAUAAUGACUAUAUGUAUGUUGACAUAUCAUGUGAUGCUAGUGGUAUAUGUGCAUGAUGACAUAUUAUGAAUUAACAUAUUGUGGAUUAUGUUAAAUAGAAAAACAUACUUGAUGACAUAUUGUCAUAUUGUGGAACAUAGUAGAUGAAAAUGUAUGCAUGUUGAUAUACCUUGAGAUAUGAGUUGAUAUAUAUGCAUGUUGAUGUAUUGUGGACUACGUUAAAUAACAUAUGCAUGUUAAACUUGGGUCUAUACCUCUUGGAUGGUUAGAAAACUCGAUGUUGAAAAAUAAUGACGUAUGAACUAUGAUAUGCGACGUGGACAAUCUAUAUAUAUUAGAUCGAGUGGCAUAUGAUUAGUAUAGUGGAAACACUUAUGACAUGUUGAACACUUAGAAAACAAGUAUGGCAUGAGUCCAAGAAUAUAGUAGUGUAUAUGACACAAGUGAUAGUAAAGAAUGCAAAGAAAAGAAUGAUUGAAAUAUUAUGACAUUUCAACCCUAGAGUUAGGGUCAUUUGAACAUAGUCUUUCUAAAGUUAAGGAAUUGAUUGAACUUGGAGUCCUCAAAUGUAGGAUUGAUCAUACUCACUUUUAGUCCUUGCUCGAGGUUGUGGUAACUCUCCCUCGGGCGAUGUGCUCCGGAGUCGACAUCACUGGGUUAUAGCGAGUAUCUCCCCAGAAGACGGUCCCAUCGGGUCGUAGCGAGUAUCUCCCUGAUUAUUGGGAUUUUGAGUUUGUGAGUUUGUUGAGGGCAAAACCUUCGGGUUAGCCAAGAGAUUGGGUAACAAGCACAUGAGUUGUAGCAAUAUCCUAGUUGAGUGGACUUAAGGCUGAGGUGCAAGUGAGACGUCCUUCGCCUCGAGCCUGGCUUUAUGCGGUACUCUGCGAAUGAUUGACUCGAGACCGAGUCGUGUGGAUAGUUGAUAAAGGUAAAUGAGACCAUAUGAUCAGAAUUGUAAUUGAUAUGAAUUUAAAAUAGUGGAAUAACUUCGAAGUCAAUUGAAUGAGCUUUGAAUAGCAGGAUUAAAGUAGUAUCGAUUGAACUACUAAUUGGUUGCAUAAAUCGCAUGAUUUUCAUAUUGCAUAGUUGUGAGGCAUGACAUGUAUUUCAAUUAUCGCAUAUAUAUAUAUGUUGGAUAUUUGUUGGACUAACAUGUUGCAGUGCCUCCUUGGACCUGUGGGUCGAGCUCUUCCCUUGGGUGGCCGUACCCACUGGGAACUAUAUUUAUAUAGUUCUCACCCCCGUGUUGUUUUUGGGGGUACAGGUUCCCACGUGAGCGGCGCGGCGGCGCGAGGAGAGGGCGUAGCUCCGUAGAUAGCGCCCUACCACCGAGACCAGAGAUAGCGGUACCCUGAGUCGGCCUUUACUUAGGGAUGUAAGAAAAUGAAAAGAAUCAAGUUGUAAUAAUUUGUAAUAAAAGCUUGAUUGUAUUUGGAAGUUAAAUGUAAUGUGUAAUUAUGAUGUAAAAUAUAUCUAGUGGAUGUGAAUGCUUGUAAUAGCAAGUAAAUUAUGUUUUUGAUACUUCCUUAUGCAAUCUUUGAUUGAAAUGUGUUCCUAGUUGGAACUUUGUAUAUUGUAUUGAUUGCGACGCCUUGAACAUACAGGGGAGACACUGUCCGCGGUACCGUGGAAACCCUGUCCGUUCGGCGGUCGAUCUGUCGGCGUGCCCAAAAUCGGCCAAAUAGGCCGGCUCGGGGCGUGACAAUGAACGAGUACUGUUUUGAUUCACCAUCUUCGUGAUAGGCAUUUCUCGAACCAUAUGCCAUCUUCAUAAUAGGCACGGUUCGAUUCGAUCGUAUCGCUAUCUUCAUGAUAAGCAUCACCAUCUUUAUGAUAGGCUCGAUGUGAUCAAUUUCGUAUAUUUGGACAAAAAAAAAAGAUGAAUAAACAAAUUAAAAAAACAAAGAAAAAAAAAGGAAGAAAAAAAAAGAAAGAAAAGGGGGGCACCCCUCCCUCUCUCUCUCGAUUUCGUAGAGAGAGAGAGAGAGGGAGUUGGGUUUCCUUCUCUCUCUGUGGCAGUCAACAAAAAAAAGAGAAAAAAAAAAAAAAACAUAAAAAAAAAAAAAAAAAAAAAGAAAAAAAAAAGAAAAGAAGAACCAAAAAAAAGAAAAGAAAAGAAAAGAAAUUCCAUAAGCAAAUUCCAUCAUUUACUUACGGGCCUAUGAACAAAUUUCAUAAGCAGUCCAAAAAAAAUAAAGCACCAAACCCACAUGCAGAUUUGGGCACAGAACUCUUAAGUCCAAAACUCAUCACAGUCCACAUGCAGACUCGGGCCCAGAACAUAUAAAGUCCAAAACCUAUCUCAGUCCAAAUACAGAUUCGGGUCCAAGGCCCAAAACAAAGUCCGAAAUCCAUCUCAGCCCACAUCCAGAUUUGAUUCUAAAACCAAUAAAAAUCUAUAUAAAUAAACUUCUCAACCCAAAACCCAAAAUCUACAAAUAAAAUCCCAAAAUCCAAAGUCCACAAAUAAAAUCCCAAAAUCCAAAGUCCACAAAUAAAAUCCCAAAAUUCAAAGUCCACAAAUAAGAUCCAAAUUCCAAAAUCCAGAAAUAUAAUCCAACAAAAUCUACCAAAUCUAUGUCAUCCAAAUGCCUCCAACCCAAACCGAAUUUAUGGGCUUUCCAAAUAGGCCCCUAAUUAUUAAUUAAUUCUAUGAAUUAAAUUUUAAAAGGGUUUUCCAAAUGAGCCCCAGAUCACGAAUUAAUUAUAUGAAUUAUUUUCAUGGGUUGGUCAAAUGGGCUCUCUUAUCAUGAGUUAAUUCAUGGGCCCUCUUAUCAUGAAUUAAUUUCAUGAACUUUCCAAAUGGGCCCUCCUAUCAUGAAUUAAUUCAUAGGUUCUCCAAAUGGACCAUAUGUCACACCCCAAUAAUCCCACAUCGGAUAAGAAUGGGAAUGUGAUUGGGUAUUUAGAAGACUUAGACACUAGUAAUAAUAACUGGGCUUAAGCAUUUUGCGCCGGUGGUUUGGCCCUACGAGUUAUUGUUGCUAGUGGGCUGGGUCGUUACAUUUAGUAUCAGAGCCAAAUCACCAGCCGGAAAUGUAUGACGAGACUUAGCUGANCUGGGGGGACCGGUCUCUCCUCCCAGGGACCGGUCCCCGAGAGUGAAAACUCUCAGGACUUGUCCAGAAUUCCGAUUUUCGAACUUUUUAGGUCGAAAAACAUUCUACGUCCCUCCACCAAGUGUGGAAAAGCUCGAAACACAUCCAAACACUCGAACCUCGCAAUUUGCAAAGGUCCAGUGUGUUACAAUCAAUUUCGUAUAUUUGGACAAAAAAAAAGAUGAAUAAACAAAUUAAAAAAACAAAGAAAAAAAAAGCAAGAAAAAAAAAAGAAAGAAAAGGGGGCACCCCUCCCUCUCUCUCUCGAUUUCGUAGAGAAGAAAAAAAAAAGAGUUGGGUUUCCCACUUUCUCUGGCAGUCAACACAAAAAAAAAAGAAAAGAAGAACCAAAAAAAAGAAAAGAAAAGAAAAGAAAUUCCAUAAGCAAAUUCCAUCAUUUUCUUAUGGGCCCCAUGAACAAAUUUCAUAAGCAGUCCAAAAAAAAUAAAGCACCAAACCCACAUGCAGAUUUGGGCCCAGAACUCUUAAGUCCAAAACUCAUCACAGUCCACAUGCAGAUUCGGGCCCAGAACAUAUAAAGUCCAAAACCUAUCUCAGUCCAAAUACAGAUUCGGAUCCAAGGCCCAAAACAAAGUCCGAAAUCCAUCUCAACCCACAUCCAGAUUUGAGUCUAAAACCAAUAAAAAUCUAUAUAAAUAAACUUCUCAACCCAAAACCCAAAAUCUACAAAUAAAAUCCCAAAAUCCAAAGUCCACAAAUAAAAUCCCAAAAUUCAAAGUCCACAAAUAAGAUCCAAAAUCCAAAAUCUAGAAAUAUAAUCCAACAAAAUCUACCAAACCUAUGUCAUCCAAAUGCCUCCAACCCAAACCGAAUUUAUGGGCUUUCCAAAUGGGCCCCUAAUUAUUAAUUAAUUCUAUGAAUUAAAUUUUAAAAGGGUUUUCCAAAUGAGCCCCAUAUCACGAAUUAAUUAUAUGAAUUAAUUUCAUGAAUUGGUCAAAUGGGCUCUCUUAUCAUGAGUUAAUUCAUGGGCCCUCUUAUCAUGAAUUAAUUUCAUGAACUUUCCAAAUGGGCCCUCCUAUCAUGAAUUAAUUCAUGGGUUCUCCAAAUGGACCCUAUGUCACACCCCAAUAAUCCCACAUCGGAUAAGAAUGAGAAUGUGAUUGGGUAUUUAGGAGACUUAGACAUUAGUAAUAAUAACUGGGCUUAAGCAUUUUGGGCCGGUUGUUUGGCCCAACGAGUUAUUGUUGCUAGUGGGCUGGGUCGUUACAUUUAGUAUCAGAGCCAGAUCACCAGCCGGAAAUGUAUGACGAGACUCAGCUGAGCUAGAGUCUGGAUGACAAGGCUAGUGAGACGAGUCUCACAUCGCCUUGUGAUCUUGGGCUAUGUGUGUGAUUGGGCUGACGAGGACGUCAGAGCCUUAACGGGGGGAGUCUGUCACACCCCAAUAAUCUCACAUCGGAUAGGAAUAUGGAUGUGAUUGGAUAUAUAAGAGACUUAGACACUAGUAAUAAUAACUGGACUUAAGCAUUUUGGGCUGGUGGUUGGGCCCAACGAGUUAUUAUUGCUAGUGGGCUGGGUCAUUACACUCUCUUAUCAUGAAUUAAUUUCAUGGGUUUUCCAAAUAGGCCCUCUUAUCAUAAAUUAAUUUCAUGAACCCAUUUCAUGAGCUCUCUAAAUAGGCCUCUGUCAUGAACCCAAUUCAAUGGGCUUUCUAAAUGGGUCCCCAUCAUAAAUUAAUUUUAUGAACCCAUUUCUUGGGCUCUCUAAAUAGCCCCGAUCAUGAAUUAAUUUCAUCAAUUAAUUUAAUGGACUUUACAAAUGGGCUCCUAGCAUGAAUUAAUUUUAUGAACUAAUUUCAUGAGAUUCAACUUCAACCGACCGUCAUCUUAUUAAACUGAGCAACUUAAAAUAAAACCGACCGCCAUCAUUAAACUGAGCACCAAAACUCAAACCGACUGCCAUGUCAUUAAACUGAGCAACUCAAUUUAAAAUCGACCGCCAUGUUGCUAAACUGAGCAUCUCAGCUUCAAUCGACCGCCAAGUCGCUAAACUGAGCAAAUCAAGUUCAGAUAUGACCGUCAAGUCGUUAAACUGAACAAAUGACUGUUAAGUCAUUAAACUGAACAUUCAACAGCUAUGUCAUUAAACUGAGCACCAAAACUCAAACCGACCGCCAUGUCAUUAAACUGAGCACCAAAACUCAAAUCGACCGCCAUGCCAUUAAACUGAGCACCUCAAACUCAAACCGACUGCCAUGUCGCUAAACUAAGCAUCUUAAUUUCAAUCAACCGCCAAGUCGCUAAACUGAGCAAACCAAAUUCAGAUAUGACCGUCAAGUCAUUAAAAUGAACAAAUGACUGUUAAGUCGUUAAACUGAACAAAUGACUGUUAAGUCGUUAAACUGAACAAAUGACUGUUAAGUCGUUAAACUGAACAAAUGACUGUUAAGUCAUUAAACUAAACAUUUGACCGCCAAGUCCUUAAACUAAUCAAAUUAAUAUCAAACUGUUUUCCACCGCCACGUUGCUAAACUGAGCAUCUGAACUUCAAUCGACCGCCAAGUUGCUAAACUGAGCAAAUCAAGUUCAGAUAUGACCGUCAAGUCUUUAAACUAAACAAAUGACUGUUAAGUCAUUAAACUGAACAUUUGACCGCCAAGUCGUUAAACUGAGCAAACUAAUAUCAAACUGUUUUCGACCGCCACGUCGUUAAACUGAAUAUCUCAACUUCAAUCAACCGCCAAGUCGCUAAACUGAGCAAAUCAAGUUCAGAUAUGACCGUCAAGUCGUUAAACUGAAUAAAUGACUAUUAAGUCAUUAAACUGAACAUUUGACCGCCAAGUCGUUAAACUGAGCAAUCAAAUCAAACCCUUUUGACUGUCAUGGUGUUAAACUGAGCAAUCAUAUCAACUCUUUUUGACCACUAUGUCGUUAAACUGAGCAAACUAAUAUCAAACUCUUUUUGACCGCCAUGUCAUUAAACUGAGCAAAUUAAAAUUAAACUCCUUUUGACCGCCAUGUCGUUAAACUAAGCAAAUUAAAAUUAAACUCAACAUCAACUUAUUUCAAACGACCGACAUGUCAUUAAAUAGAGCAAUCUAAUCCCAAUCGACCAUCAAGUCUAUAAACCGAGUAUUUAGUUUUAUAAAAUCUAUGUACAGUGGGGGGAUGCCCCUGCUUAAACCAUGUAUACGGUAAAUCAUAUUAAUAAAAUUUUAUUUGCAUGUUUGGUAUCUUUUAUUAUCAGUAUUUAUAUUCGGUCUCUUAAUCGAGGGUUCCUUAACACUGAAAGUGUGGGUUAAUUAACAGCAGACUCUUGAGCCUGUUGUAAGCCAUGAACCUGUAAUCCUGAUCUCAAAAUAAAAUUUAAACAAAUUUAAUCUGUAUCAUGAAUGACCACUCGCCUUAGGAACACCUACGGCGGGGCCGGUUCGUUCGCGGCAGACAAGCCCUUGGAUGAAAGGAUGUGCGGUUAUGAUGAUAGUGGUCCUCUAGGAUUAAAUAGAUAAUUGAUUGAAUAGUAUGAUCUAACGGGUUGAAAUGGUCAAAUGAGUAGAUCUAACGGCGAAAAACUUGGUAGCACCAAACACUUGGUGCUAUCAAUAGUAUAGUAGUCGGACUCAUAUAGAACAAGUCUACCUGGUAUACUAUUAAUAGUAUAUAAAUAGUAUUUCUAUAAACUUUUUAGCCAUUAGAUUAAUACUAUUCCAGCUAACCUUAUUAAAAUCUUGGCAUCUAAUGGAUAAAAAGUUCCUCCAUCCCACUCCCCUUCUCUUCUCUCAUUCUUGCAAUAGUAAGAAAGUGGAAAGAUGGGUUUUUCUUCUUAUUCUUCUUCCUUGAUUCACUUCUCCUUUCUCUCUAAUCCUCUUAUUUUUCUUCCCAAUCACCUCCUCCAUUCAAGCUUUAAUACCUUGAGCUUGGAGUGGAGCUUGGAUGGGAGGAGUAUUGUUUGUAGCACCAAUCAUUAACUCUAACACCCGAAGGUGGGGUUAAGCUUUGAAUCAAGAUUAGUAAUGUCACGCCCCACUCUCCGUCAAUUUGGUCGAGUUCGGGUCAUGUCAACAGACGCCGAACUGACAGGGCCUCCCCCGCCCGCCCAAGGCUCCAACCACAAGUAUAAUUAAGCAAUCAAACAAAGAGAUUUACAAUUAUACAAGACUUGCACGAGGGCAAGCAACAACGGAAGCGAAAGCUCUAAGCUAUAACAUACAACCAUACAUAAUAUUUGAUUACAUUUAAACCAAAUACUAGUAAACUACAACUAUUACAUUCUCUUUACUUUCAUUCAUAAAUUCUCUUACAUCUUAAUCAUUCUCCCAAAAUACAUGAUUGUUUACAACUUUACAAUUCUAUCCAACAAAAGAAAGUUGAUACAUGAACUGAAAAGGGAAUGACUAAAAUGCAUAACUCCGGUGGCCACUAGCUAUGGUGCGAUACCCUUGCCUCGAUCCUCCGCCGCCCCGCUCGCACUCGGAUCUGUAGGGUUAGUGAUGUGAGAACUACAACAAAGUUCCCAGUGGGUUCGGCAACCGACCUCGCCGACUUACCUACUAGGUCUAUUCAGGCAUAAGUAUUUCAAGAAAGAGAAAUAGUAAUCAAUGCUAAUACUAAUACUAUGCCUGCAAGAAAACUGUCAGUGGAUAUAUAAUCAACAUAAAAUGCUUAUGCAUGCAUGCUCUUUCGAUAACUUUACUUUGGCUUUUACCCAAUCUUACCGGUUAACCUUGUUAACCCCAAUAACUCACAACCCAAAAUCUCUUUCGUUCGGGGAGGCUCUAAGCACUACAAGACCCGAGGGAUCGUCUUCGGGGACCGCGCUCCCCGUGGUGACAAUUUCGGAACGCACCACUUAAGGGGGAGUUACCACCCUCAAGCCCAGACUUAUCGUGAGUAUCAAUCCAAUUCCCACUUAGGAAAAUACUAUGCCUGCAAGAAAACUGUCAGUGGAUAUAUAAUCAACAUAAAAUGCUUAUGUAUGCAUGCUUUUUCAAUAACUUUACUUUGGCUUUUACCCAAUCUUACCAGUUAAUUUUGUUAACCCCAAUAACUCACAACCCAAAAUCCCUUUCGUUCGGGAAGGCUCUAAGCACUACAAGACCCAAGGGACCGUCUUCGGGGACCGCGCUCCCUGUGGUGACAAUUCCAGAACGCACCGCUUGAGGGGGAACUACCACCCUCAAGUCAAGACUUAUCGUGAGUAUCGAUCCAAUUCCCACUUAGGAAAUGUAUAGCCACUAGCCACAAUGCUACUAUCAUAAUAGGUUUCUACCUAUUUAUUCAUGUCACUCUCUAGAUCAUUCUUGUCACAAUGCCACUAAUUGUUAAACCUUGUUUAACGAGUCAUGUCUCGAUGCCAAUCAUGUCUCUAAUAUCAAUGUCACCUUUAUUUACUAUUAUCUUGGUCCAAGUCUCACAUUCAUACAAGUUUAGGGUGUGUCCGCUAUGGCUCAAAUCAUUUUUCACGUUCCACUACGUUAGAAGCAUAUAAAUUAGAGCCAAAUUAGGCUUUAUACUUAGAACUCUAUCUCUCUCCUCCACGAAGGUAUCGCGGAAUAACUUCUCCAUAUGCAUCAACCACUUCUCAACGAUCCAGUGGUCGGCCUCCUUUCCAUCAAAGAUCCUGGGGUCGCACCUCCGGAACUCAUCGAGGCGAUCCAUGAGCCGUUGCCGCUCCGCUCUUUCAACCAUCAAGGAAAAAGUCGCCGCUGCCACAGGCACCUGAGCUGGUGGUGCUGCCAAUACCUCCCCCCGAGGAGCUACCGUAAGUGUCGUCUGCGAAGUGUCGAGUACAGGGGACGACCCCCCGGGCGCAACUGUCUCCACUGGCGCGGGUAGUACCGAGACCUGAGCCUCCCUAACAGCUGCCUGCUGUAAUAGAAGAUCCUCCAGGCGCUGCAUCCGUGCCUCCUGCCGUCGUGCCGUGUCCGCCUGCUGCUGGGCCGCCGCCGCCUGCUGCGUCACCAAAUCAGUGAGGGCGGCAAGUUGGCUCCUCAACUCACGGACCUCACUGGAUCGGGAGGUAGCGGAUGUCUCCGCUUCCUCAAAAGUCGCUGGGUUCUUUGAGGAUUAAAACUCUCCUUUUGCUCUCCUUUUUGCAUUUUGUGCUUUGUCCUCCGGGAGAAGUUUGGGCUGGCUGUUUGAGCUUGUAGAGGGUAGGAGCUCAACCCUAGCUGAUUUUUUCUAGGGUAAUUGUUGAUGGAGCUUCCUUGUGAGGUUAGUUUGUUCUCUCUUCAGUUUUCAAUGAUUUUUUGUACAACCCCCUAGAAAUGGUACUUUAGGGUUUUGUUUCCGGGAUUUCUGAUUACGAGGCUUUUGAAGGCCCAAUUGAUGGAUUAGAAACUUUCUAUCUAGCUGGAUUGGCAGGGAUCUACGCAUUCACUUAUUGGAGCUGUGAGGGAUUUUCACGCCACCCACAAGGUGACGUUUUGGCCCUGUUCUUUAGUUUGGCUACAUGUUUAACUAUUCGUCGUGUUCGUAAUCCUUGCUGUAUGCCCUUCGCUCAUUUACUUUGUAGGUAUUUUAUGAGACUCGUGGACAACUCCUUCGCGAAAACGAGGGAUCUGACACGACCGGUUCGGUGGGUUUUUGGCCUAGCCACACAAUGAGCAAAAUCUCAUUGCUUUGACGGUUUAAGUGUUGUAAAUUGAAAAGGCAUCGCAUAUUCUGUGUUCAGAUGCAGUGUAUCUUGUGCAAGUUUAGAAUGCUAAAAUGCACAUGUCAUAUACAAUGCAAUUUUCGACCGUCUAUACUAGUAGGAGUUUUCAUGUUGGGGCCUAGGGGGCGCUACAGUUAGCAUGUCUUAUAAAUUGACUUGAGACAUGUGCAUCAUGGUACAUAUGCAUAUUAGAUUACACCUCUUGGCACUUAGAACGCAUAUAUUGACUGUGGAUGGGACAGAUCGACAUUAAGUGACAUAGGCUAGACGGUACCUCAACAAAUAGUACAGCUAAUGUCAUAAAGCCCGGCAUCAGACUUUGGACAGAAUAUUGGUUUAGCAGUCUAAAUUCAUAAAGCGCAUUAGACUUGAGGAUAUGCAAAUCUGCAUGGUGCUGUUCAUUGAUUAUAAGAAUUACAUGCCAAGUUACAUAAGUCGAAUUGGGAAAGAACUUACAUGCUAGCCCAUAUGCAGAACACGCUAGAGAAGGGCAUGUGUAUUAAUCUAUUAUUGAUAAAACAAGCCUAGGCGUCAUAAAGAGACAUAGAACAGUGAAUUGGCUUAAGAUGUAUCAGCAAUUGUUUAAGUGUCAGUAAAGAGGCACGUAACAACAUAGUGAACGUGUGGAACUUCACUUGACGCUUUGGACUUAGUAAAAGCUAAGGCUCAUUGGACAUAGAAUUUUUAUUGUACGCGUUAAACCUGUCACUAUCGAGACAUAUGACUCAGAUCUUUCGAGAUGCAAGUGAACUUUACCAUGUUUAGAGACAUGAUACCUGUUGGGUGGCUAUUACCUAUGUGGAGACAGUGACAUGACUCAUUGAGGUAUUGCACCGCAUGUUGUUCUUGAUUUGUGCUCAUCUCGCACAAUCGCUUGUGAGGGUCCGCUCCCCUACAAGUCGUCACUGUCGGCCCGGAGUUAGCCUACGCGACUUAUGUAUCGUCGUGCGGUAUCGAGUACCUACGGGGCCUGGAGGAUUACGACUCAUUCCUAGAGUAGGAAUGCUUGAGUUACUCACUGGCAGCUGCUAGGCGCACAAGCCGAACUACACCUGUGUAGACUCCUAAUUGGAGUGAACCCAGAAUAUUAAGCAACAAGUGACAUUCGCGUACUAGCUAGGAUUAUAGUAGUUGGACUCUUGAUAUGCUAUGGCAAUAGUUGGUUUGGACCACUUUGGGCUUAGAGUAUACUUGACAGUACGCUUAUUACCAUUAUAGAUUCUUGAUUGCUAUGAUAGUACAACUACUAGAUAUGUAGUGGACUUUGGUCAUAACUAGAUACUUCAUACGCAUUACUUGUUCCACUCCAGCGCAUAGUUGCUUUUAUAGUUUUGACAUAUGUGGAUCAUGUAGAGUGAUGUUACUCGCAUGUUGAUAUUUCCAUGGCCGUAGAAUAUUCUGGUGCCAGUAGUAGUAAGCAUUCUCAAUAUAUGCCUUAUUUUCCGCAAUCGUUUUGUGUUAUCUAUAACUGCUUGUUUGGGCCUAGUGUGCAGUUUGAGCUGUAGGAUCAGUAUUGCCCACCCAUCGGAGAACUAUAAUUUAAGUUCUCCACGCCCCGCUGUUGUUUUAACUGUUUUCUUUAAGAGUCCUUCCACUCCCCGGGAGGCUCGGGAUCGCGGGAAAGGUUUGCGCCCUCCGAUUAGCUAUCGAAGGGAGCUAUGGUUGAUAGGUGGCCCAACCCUCUCCCCUUUCUGUUCUCUUUUGGAGAGGUUGUGAGAGUUUUGUAGCGUUAUAGAGACCGACCCCUAUUUUUGUAAUCUUGAGAUUUAUGGAUGUAAUCAGUUUACUUUAGUGCUCUAGUAAGUACUGAUUUUCUUUUGAUUCUACUGAUGUUAGAACCUAGCUUAAUACUUGCUCUGAUAUCUCUCAAGUACGCAGAGUUCUGCAAUGCUUACUCUUCUCGCUUUUCGUGUAGACGCCUUAUAGUGUGUAGAACAUAUGGCGGUGCUGGGCGCGCACCUAGCGACGGGCCCAUACCCGGUGUCCAGGGCGUGACACGGUGGCGCGUUCCUAUGGCACUAUACCGCUUGCCGUCGGUCCCUAGCCCGCUGCCGCCCGCCCGUCCUGAACGCAGACCUGGUAGGUUAGUGGUGUACAGAAACUAAACAAAGUUCGCCCAGUUGGACUCGGCAUCCGACCCCGGCGCGACGUUAACCCACUAGUCUAUCAGGCAAUAGAGUAUUUCAAGGAAAGAAAAGUAACCAGUAACUAAAGCAUCUAAAUACUAUGCCUGCAGACAGAAUGUCAGUGGAAUACAAAUACUCAAACUGGCGAUAAGGAAAAUGUGCAUGCAUGCUCAAUUCAUAAAUAAGGCUUUGGCUCUACCCAACUCUUACCGGUUUAAACCUUGUUAACCCAAAACAACCUCAUACCCCCAAAAUCCUUCUUUAACCGGGGAGGCUCCAAGCACUACAGACCCCGAGGGAACCGUCUCAGGGACCUUGCUCCGCUGCGUGGUGUCGAUCUUUCGGAGACACACCUGCUUGACGGAGGAGCGACCUCCCCCUCAACCACAGACUUAUUAUGAGUGUCAAUCAAAUCCCCGCGUUGAGGAUUGUAAGCGCACUUUGUCACGAUGCCACUUUUGUGAUAGGCUUUUCUACCGCAUAUGUUCUCAAGUCAGCUUCUAGUCAAUCUCGUCACCAAUGCCACUAUAGUUAAGUCUAUGUUCAGCAUCCGUGUUAUUCAGCCAAUCUAUCUCUCUAUGUCAUUUGCUCACACAUUUUGUUUAUUGUGUGCUAAGUAUCCAAGUCUCACUAUCAUGGCAAUCAUCUGGGGUUCAUACACACAUGUCCAUCCCGUGUCCUAUUUCUCUCUCUUUUCAAAUACACUUGGAAUAACACUAAUGAAAAACAUAUCCCCAAGUUCACCCAUGUGAAUAAACCGCACUAAUAUCUGCAUGAAAAGAAUUAAACCAACCAUAUGCUCAAGAAUAUAGGCAAAAUAGACAAUAGAAGGAAUCCAAACGAUCCGGCGUGCACGCCCCCACCUCUAAUAUUCGUGUGGUGUAGAAUAUAAGGCCCCAGCCACUUUAGCGAAAGCCGAUUCUUGCGCCCUAAUAAUCAAUAACGGUGCCAUAACUUCACGGCCUUUUUGUACAUGAAGCAUACUGCUACUAGACAUUUUCGCAACACGUUCAACGAGUUGUCGCAACGGUUUAGCGGCAACCCUAAAAUGUAGUUUCUACGAGGUCAAUUCGCUCCCGCGAACAAUCCUAAGGGCAAAAGCCAAUUUUCUAAGCCUACCAGCCAUCUAGGGUUCCCCAAUCGAAAUCGGAUCCCAACCUAACAACAAUAGCUAGGAAUCAUCUAAGAAGCAUCCUCAAGUGAGGUUUCCUAGACCUUUGAUACAACCUAGGGCUUCUAUGGUGAACCCUAAACCAACCACCUUGUGCCUCAUGGGUUCCAUGGAGUUUAAGGCCUAUAGGAAGGCUCCCAAAGGCUAAAAACAACCCAAAACUCAAAAUCUUAGGAUCCAAACCAAGCCCCUAGAUCUCAGUUACACCAAAAACUCAGCCUACCACAACUCCUCCAAGCCUCUCUUGUAGGAAGAGCUUGUAGAAGCCACAAAGCCUCAAAUCCACCUUCCCCGCUUUGCUCUCUUCUCUGUCUUGCUUCUCCAAGCCACUAGAGCAAGGUUCUAGAGAGAGAAGAGAGAAAUGAGAGAGAAGGGUGAAAAUGGGUGUGGGGGAGAGGGGGAAUAGCCUAUAUGAAGUGUUGUAAUAAUUGCAAGCUUAAGCGCCUCCUCACAUUGUUUUCCCAUUGAUCCUGCCUAGACUGGGCAUUUGUUCGCCUUCAGGAUCGGUAUCCUCCCCGACCCGAGGACCGGCUCCCGGACGUGGGUAUUUCCAGACUGAUAGCCGAAAUUUCGGGGUUUCAGUGCUGGCGCAAAUGAGGGACGGAUCUGCCUUCCAGGGGCAAUCUCCCCGAGGACGGUCUCAGCACCAGGGACCCGGGAUGCCUCAGGAUUUCUGGGCGAGGCUCGCGCGUACGGGGACCGAAUCUUUCCUUCGAACCCGGUCCCCGAGAGCUCAAAGUCCUGGACUGCUAACCAGAUUUUUCAGAUUGCUCUCCUCCGGUCCUCUUUUGCUCUUACUUAUGAACUCUAAUGUGCUACAAGGUCCAUUCUAGCACUCAUGUCAAUUCCGCGUGCCCGCUCGUUUUGACAGCGAACUCGCCGCCGAUUUACGAUGGGUAAACGUGGUAUGCUUACAGCUCUCUACCACUAAAUAAAUUUAGUUGUCGUCGCGGCGAAACUACUAAAAUUGAAUUUUAAAUUUCUUACUCACUCUCCGGAUCCUCGAAGAGGUGAGGCGAUAACGCUCCCCGCAUCAUUUCGGCUUUCGAGCCCCAGACUGUUUCCCCCCUCAGUCUCGUAGCUCGUACCAAUGAAUCUGUUUCACAUACGGGAUCGUCAUGGCUCCGAAAAAGCUUUUUCGCACCUGCCCGGUCGAGUAACAUACAGCCGGACACUCCUCAUAGUCCAUAUCCUCCUGAUGCUUCUGAUCGUAUACUAGAAGAGAAUGAUGUUCUGGUGUCGUACACAUUACUUGCGGAGUUGGAACCAGUGGAAACAUCAUCGUCCCCCGCGAGUAUCCCGGUGGUAAUGCAACUUGUAGGCACCGGCACAAAGUCGUUCCAAGAAUCUCAAUAGAGUCCCAAUAUACGUGGGACCAGCUUCCCGCGAACAUCGCGAACGCCGGUCUAACUCCUACGCAUCGGCGAUCACUUUCUAAGAUACGCCGUCUCCUACACGCGCGAAACUCAAUAUCCUUUCGUCGCUUCGUCGGCAUCACACUCUUGUGCUCUCGAUUGCGCCGUCAAUUGAGCAAUCUCUGUCCGGCAAGGGCGGACUUUCUCUCUCCCUCCGCACUACAACCGGGCCAAGAACUACUCUCUCAACACAUCCGCUCGCUCCAGUCGUAUCGGCGGAGCGAAAUUUCCUUCCAUCACAAGGCCUGCGAAUGGCACCAUCCGGCAAUGCCUUUCUUGAUGCUAUUGUUGUAUGCGAAUUCCGCCAUCAGUAAGUGAUCCGUGCCAUCCCGCCCCUGUGUAAUCAAGCACACCACCUCGAUAGCAUUCCUCAGUAUUUGAACUUGUCCUUUUCGGCAUUGACCCAGUCACUUUGAGAGGAUGAAAUGCGGUACUAAAAUCGAAGAGAACGCGGCCUAACACAUCUGUAAGCUCUUCCAAAAAAUGAGAUGUGAACGCUAGGGUCCGAUCCCGAUCCAAUAGAUACCGACACCCAGUGAAGUCUCGACCACCCUCAUUCAAUUAGAUAGACUGAGCGCUAAACUUGUCUCCUCGACCAGUGUGUGGACGCGGAAAAAAAGUGUGCCGAUUUUGUCGAACGCGGCUCCACAACUACCAUUCACUCGGCGUCAUGCUCCACCCUUGUGACCUAGGCAGCCUGUCACAAAGUCCAUUGCAAUGUUUUCCAUUUCCAAACGGGUAAAGGUAGGCUCUGUAAUUUCCGCCGCUGCGAAAAUCGACGCCUCCGCUUCACUUGUUGGGCACGUCAGACCAUUGCGCCACGAACUUCCCUAUGUUUCUUCAUGGCCGACCACCAAUAAAUGUAAUUCAAGUCUCGGCUACAUUUUGGUGCGCCCGGGUGAAUACUCAUAGGGAGACGAUGCGUCAGUUAUGCAUAAGCGCCGCUCGCGAAGACUCGUCGUCCUUGGGCACGCAACAACGAUCCCCGACUAUGUAGUGCGCGUCGCUUCCAAUUGCCCAAAAAUCUUCGCACUCACCGCUCUCAAACUUUUGCGCCCCGGCACCUUUGGAAGAAAUACAUCCCGAUAUUGUGCAAUCCUGUGAUUUUCUCGCAACAAGUUGGUUUGACAACGUAAGGUGGCCAAGCAUUGCAGCAUCCCGGCGCCACAAUUUUGCCAACGAANNNNNNNNNNNNNNNNNNNNNNNNNCUCUCUUUCUAGGAAGAUGGAGGAAUGUAACACACGGACCUUUGCAAUUGCGAGGUCGGUGGUUUCGAGGUUGUCUGGGAGGGGCUUUUCCUAAUUUUCUGGGGGGGGGUGGGUCGUUACCAGUGUUUGCUCCGACCUAUGGUUGAAAUCCGAGAAUUGUAGAUAUUUUAUGUAUCCACUAAGGUCACUAAAUGAGUUGGACCAGCUACGCUCGGAUUGCAUUCGCACGAUGCGUUAAUCGAUGACACAAAAGGCCGUCGAUGGCCUUGUACGUUUUAAAUUACCGGCUACAAUUUUCUGAUGAUUGAUACCGCGAUACAUCUUGCGUCCGAAAUUUUCAACGGCUCGGAAUUUUGCAUUUUGAUUAGAGCUCUUACAGUACACUUUCCUUACCGGCUCACUUUGGCAGUUAUUCGAACAGUUACAAACGCACGGUGUUUUAUUGCAUUUGCAUCCUCUAUAUGAUACCCCACGCCUCCCCCUUUGGUUUACCUGAUGCCAGACAACUCAAGAGGAAACAGGUGAAUCAGAGCCACCUCACUUUGCUCAUUUGGAUAUUGCCUUUUUCUGAUUUUUAGGUGUUUUUAGCUCUCCUUUUCCUUUUGAGAGCUUUCACGCAUUGUUGAGUUCGGAGUCUUGGAGAUGGAGCUCUAUUGGAGAGGCAGAACUUCAACCCUAUGUUGUUUGGGGCCUUGUUUGGAGAGCUUUUAAGAGUUAGAUGUUUUUCUCUUCUCUUGUAUUUGUAUUUUGAUGAGUGAUGUAUAGAUGGAAACCCUAGAAUUGUGAGUUUAGUGAUUUUGAGGCUAUUUUGAUUCUUGGGCCUAUUGAGAUAAAAUUGAUUAUUACCUUAUUUCUAAGCGUUUGCAAUUGGAAUGACUAAUGAGCUUCCAUUUGAGCUUUAAAAGGUGAUUUUCUACACCUAGUUGAGGAUUACGCAUAUUUUUGCCUUGAAUGAGUUUACUUAAGCGUUGAAUUUCGGAGCUUGUUCGUUUUCAGUUUGGAACCUUCGUUUUGAGGUCUCUAGGGUAUAGGAGUUAUGUGGGCACUCCUUUCGGCGAAACGAUGAGAUUUCAGAUGUAAUUGGCUGGGUUGGGCUCGACGAGAAUGAGAUAAAACUUUCAUAGAGGUUUUUUAUUUAUCGAAACUUUAACGGUGAAAAGCAUCUUAUUCUUAUCGGAUAGAAUAUUUGAGAAUUUUAGAGUUUUGUGCUUAAAUGCACAUGUCAAUGUCAUAUACCAUGCAUAUUGACCUCUAGGUAUAGUAGAUAGAUUCUUCAUUGGCUACGCUUGGGUAGCAUUCUUACGUUAAUGAUGAUCACGUAUGUCAUACAGUGCAUAUGGCAUAUAGAUUACACUCUAUGUGGACUUUAGAAAGUCAUAUUUACAUGGCUUGGCACUGUCGACAUUAAGUGACGAUAGCUAGGUGUUAACAAGAUAGUAAAGCUAUGUCAUAUAAGCGGCUUGUUAGUAAUGCUUGUGGGUCGCUGGACUAGAUAUGGACUAGCAACUGCCGAAUGUCAAUUAAAAACGGCAAUUCUAGACUUGAAUGAUAUGUAAAUUGCAUGCUGCAUGUUAUUCUAUAGAUUAUCAAGUUAUAGUUGCAAUGGUAAAUGAACUAAUGCUAGCAUAUGAAACACGCUAUGAGAGCAUGUGUAAUUAAUUUCUAUUAUGAUGAACAAGCUAGCUGUCAUAAAGAGAAUAUAGUAAUGUCAAUUUGAGCUUAGAUUUGUAGCAUAUGUUUUAGUGGUAUAAGAGGCACCUCAUAAAACAUAUGUAAUGUCCAGGGAACUACACCUUGAGUUUUGACUUAGUAGAAGCUAAGGUCUAAUUGACGAAUUGAUAUACUCGCAACGCGUUUAAACCUUCACUUGAGCAUCCGUAAUGACUAGACACUGGAAACAGGGCAGGCUGCUAUAGUGCAUUAUCCGAUGUUAGAGACAUGUUGAUGACUGUGAUUGAGUUGCAAUUUUUCAUGUGUUGGCAACAUGACGAUUGGGACUAUUGAUGGUUUUGACAUGUUGCUUGACGUUUGUGCUCAUUACGCACAUGCUAGUGAGGGGUCGCUCCACACCACAAGCCGGCACUCCGGAUAGACUAACGCACUAUAUUCCCCCUGCGGUAUCGAGUAGCCUUACGAGUGCCUGGAGAUAGACUUCCAUUCGUAGAGUGGAUGGGAGUACACUGGCAUCUAUAGGCUGGCACAGUAAGCGGACUAAACUGAUGUAGAUCUGGAUUGAGAUUGAACCGAGAUAAAUUAAGCAAUAAGUUGGAAAUUUCAUAACUAGAUAGGUUAUAGUAGUAUUGGAUUUUUUAUAUGCUAUGGCAUAGUGUUGGCACAUCUGCUUAGGAGUGAAUGAUCUUACAGUAUCUCGCUUAUUACAUUGUAGUAUUCUUGGUUGCUUAUGAUAGUACAUUACUAAGAUAUGUAGCGGGCUCUAGAAAUAUAAUAUCAACAUUUAUCAGCAUACUUGAAUCUGAUCACUCGAUAAUUGUUAAGUCUUGGCACUAUACGAUUCAUUUAGAGUAGAUGGAUACUUCCAUUGACAUUCAGAAAUACUUUGUGCCAUAGUAGAGUAGCAUUUUAAUUUCAGGCUUCAUAUUACGGUUGAGUAUUUUCUCUGUUAAUCAAUUUUUGAUCGUUUUGGGCUAGUGAGCGAAUUUUGGUGCCAGGUCAAUAAAUUGCCACUACGGAACUAUAAUUUUAUAUUCUCACGCCCCUGAAAACCCUAAAUCCAUAUACACGGCUAUACUGCCGUUUAUGUUUUCUUUCAGUGCACUUCCACUCCGGGAGAGGCUCGGGAUCGCAGGGAAAAGUUUCGCCUCGAGUAGCUAUCGAGGUGGGCCUUGUCUUAGUAGGUUCCACCUUCUUUUGUUUUCUUUGGAGAGAUUGUGUGUGAGAGUUUGUUAUCUGAUUUAUAGAGGCACCUAUUUUUGCUAUCUUGAAAACUUAUGAUGUGUAUUAGUUUAAUUUUGCUGAUAGUUAUGUUUUCUUUUGAUUCUACCUAAUGGUUAGAACCAGCUAUAUACUUGCUCUCGUAUCUCUAGUGUAAUUUCUCAUAUGCUUUAAUCUUUCGUUUUGUGUAACGCCUUUAUAUGAGUUAGAAAAUAUGCUUGAGUCUGGAGCGAGCACGCGAGAGCUAUGCCGGCGUCCGGGGCUGAAUUAAAUUUGGUAUAGGAGCUUAAGGAUUUAGUACUUAGUGAGACUAGCGAACUUAGGCGGUUGGAAUAUAGGAAUUAGACUGUGAGAGACGAGUCAUAUAUAACCUAUGAGCGAAGAUAUAGUGGUUUUUCUUUGUACUCAAAAAGUUGGAGUGAAUCGAUAGUUAUGGCUUUUACUUCGGUGAGGUGUUCUGUUGCGGCGACUAAGAUUCGGUAACAUCGGAGUUUAGUUGUUGGGGACAUUCUUUACUUUCGCAAUGAUUUGGGCAGAAAGGUGUGGUUAUUUGAGCGGGGUCGGUUGCAGUGCGUGGGUUUAUAACUUCGCUUAUUUAUGUGUUGUAGCUGUUGUGCCCGAUACCGCUCUAAGUCGGUUAGAAGCGGACGAGUGCGACAUAAAUCAAAGAGAAACAAAGAGGAAGAAAAGAGAGCUCCCUUACCUUGCUCUCCCUGCUUCCAAGCUCAGGGAACACCAAGGGGGACGUGGGGGUAUGUUAUAGAGUUGCUACAAUAGCAAAAACACCCCUGUAGUUCAAACUGUUCGAAAACUGCCAAAGUGUACCGGUACACGGGAAAGUGUACCGGUACAAAUCCCACGAAAAUGCAAACCCGAGGCUCGGGUUUGAAAUUCGGCACAAGUGUACCGGUACAGCCAUCGAAAGUGUACCGAUACAAAAUGUGUACCGGUACAACCAUCGACAUGUCACCGGUUACACCAUGUGCAGAAUGCAAUCCGAGGGUAGGCUAAGUCCAACUCUUUAGUGACCUUAGCGCUACAUAAAAUACUACAAUUCUCGGAAUUCGAACCAUAGGUCGGAACACUGUCAACGACCCACCAGAAAAUCUGAAAAAGCUCAGGACACAGUCCAAACACUCGAACCUCGCAAUUUGCAAAGGUCCAGUGUGUUACAUUCUCCCCUCCUGAAAAGGAGUUUCGUCCGCGAAACUGCGGGUCAACCACACAACAAACCCAUCCGAAGAUGAUGGAAGAAGCGCUCCAACAGCGCCCCAAACAGACCAUGAUGGUCUCAAGUGUGCUGGAAAACUCCAAGGCGCAAACACAACAAGAUCUCGCGACGCCAAGGUUUUGGCAUAACACAACCCACACUUCCGCAUAAGCUUCUUGAACUCAAGCCUUCACCGAAAGUUCCAUCUUCAAUCCGCGCUUGAUUUCAAGUUCUUCAAUCGGUUCUUAGGAAUCAAGUGUUUCCGAAAGCUGAAUUCCAAUUCUCACCUAUCUCGCCCAAGUCGGGGGUAAAGCCUUGCUCUGCUUCAAUUACUCUGGUAUAUAGGAUUACAUCCAAACACCCCUUAAGGUGGAUUCAAAGGCACUGUCCAAAGCAAGCAUUUGGGGGUUAAAUCUCUUACUCAUCUAUCCAAACACCAUUGGAGUGCUCAUCAGAUCAACGCUCACCGAGGAGAGGUGAUGCAACAUCCGCUGAUCGGCUCAUAUUCCAACAAUGAUCCUAAAUCAAGUCUCUUCUCGAGAUGGCCUAACUAAGCGUAAUCCAAUCCAGUUUAAGUGCAGUGUAAUUUCCAUCCCACUGCCAUUCACAACGUCCAUCCAUCCGUCCAACCUUGCUGGGCACGGACGGUUCCAAAUCCACCAACAAGGUAACCAACUUCCGAAAAGUAACAGAAAUCAACUGAUCGUCCAAACUCGCCCAUCAUGGCGAUUACUUGGUUCCUCAUUCGGCACUGCGCUACGAUGUCUCCACAUCAAUCUCGAACUCACCACUCGGGAGUACCCUCCAUUCUCCGCAAAACAUAGUCACGGACCAAGCUCAAAAGCUUCAUUAAUUCACUAAGAUCAUCAUCUUAGUCCCAACUCAAGUCCAAGCAAACCCUCAGAGAUUCGAUCUCAAAGCUUUCCCUAGUCACGGAUGCCCCAGGUGUCGGUAGCCAUCGAGCUCAGUUCACGCGAUAGAGAAGGGUCAAUCCACGGUUCGAUAACAGCUUUCUAUCAAGGUCACUCUGAUGCGACUAUCAAGCCAAAAUUAAUCCCAUAAGUCCUCAUAUGCAGUUCUAUCUCGAAGAGCUCAAAUCCUUGUACAAGCUCAAGACACGGGGAAAAAAAAGCACUUGGUACAUUCCCCCUCACAAAAUCUCCAUCCAUCAGUGAGAGUUUCACAACUCGAUUGCUUCAAACCUGCCCACGCAGUCUAAACUCGCGCAUCCUAUAAAAAUACCCCAAGUCAUCCGCGACUGGUCCACAAAUCCACACACGGCUCGGAAUUAUCAUUCUGCAAAUCCCUUCCACUGGUGGAGUACUACAGUCUUGGCAACAUCAUCCUUGUGAGGUUCCAACCUAGCAUCAUGACCCGUUCGAGGUGUAACCUCAAACUCCAACAUCAAAUGGCACUACUCAGAUCGCUCACAGUCUAAUCGAAUACACCAACAACUCAAGGCCAAGUGACAAGAUCAUUGGGCCUCAACGCUGUCCAAACACCAAGUCGUGGUUCAAUUUGAAUCACGAUGGUCGACAUACCGUCGAAACGGCCCAACCGGUCCCACAACAAGUGAGAGUGCUCCUCCACGAAACAAAACACCAACUAUAGAACCUCCCUGCCAAUCGAGCUAACUAUUAGUGACUCGAUCAGGGACACAACGACCGAUCAAGGACAUCCUUUAUUUCAAGGAUUCUCAACCACCCAAAGCUGAUGGCCACUCAGGCCCUAAACCCUCUCCAACACUUUCCCAAUUUUAGGUAAGGGAGACAAUCAACACAUCUAGCGGAAGUAAAUCUUCAAAUCGCACUAUUUCGUGCUCACAGUCCUCAAGGCGAGUCAAGUCAGCUCGCAAUCCAAGGAUACCAGGUACCCACAACAACUCCACACCAAGGAAGGCCAAUCUAUUUGUUGGCACACGGAACCAUCUCACGGGGUAGGGCGUUCGAAAUGACACACCCGAUCAACCGAUCACCCACACGCGCCAAAAGGCUCAACGCUAACAAAUCCUCGGGUUGGGUAACUACACACUCAGUGUGUCCUCGAUCUCACGAUCCAACACGUGGCUUUCCAUGCUCCAGGGUCGAGGCUCGGACUACCAUCCUAACCAAAACUCUGCCGUACCAACAGGUACCGGGCCGCUGUCACACACAGCCGACUGCGCUUGCCCAACGGGCCCAGGCUCCACACUCCCCAAAUGGUCCAGGCACGGUCGUCUCCAAGCCCCAUCUGGCAAACAGCCGAGCCAGGGAUACAACUAAUGCAAUCCUCGUGAGAUCUACAAGCAUAGCAAAAUAAAAAAAUAUGCUACCCGCAACUCGCAAAUCAAUCGCCUAGCUCGAGGGGCUACACAAUGUCACAAACAUCGAACUAACGAAAUGCUAUGCAACUCGGCGAAUAGCCGAUCAGAAUAUAGAUGCAAUGCACCAAUAGCAAACAAUGCACAACACAAAUGCCACAGGGGGGACCGAUACCUGAAAUCACAAACUUGGCUGCUGCCGCCUUCUCAGUCUAGGCCACAUACGCACGCCUGCUCGGGGCCCGUCGUGACCCCUCCGUCUGUCUCAGGAAAGGUGGCCACACGGCCAGGUAGUAGGCAGAAGGCGUCCCCUGGCUGGGACCCGGUAAAGCUGCGGCCGAUGCUGAAGAUGGCGCUGCUACUACACCCCUCGAAUAGUCGGACAGGAAGUGACCCUCCUGGCCACACGAGUAGCACCUGCCCUGCCUCUGUGAGCACUGCUACGGGUAAUGACGACCACCGCAGAUCACGCAGCUCAGAGUUUGACGACACUCGGAUCCUCUAUGCCGUGCUGAUGAGCCACGUCCUCGCGACUGGCUUCGGUUCCUAGAAUGUUUCGGCGGCCUCCCAGAGUGCGUCUGAUUCGCGCCCUCAGUCGCGGGCCUCUUGCCCUUUCCUUUGUUCGAGCCUUUUUGACGCUCCUGCAAGUCUGCCGCGCAGCUUUCCACGAUGAGAGCGCGGUUCACCACAUCUUGGCAAGUCCGAGGAUUGGAGGGUUGCACCAACUGAUAGAUCGACGGUCGAAGUCCUCGCUCGAAGAUGCGAGCCUUAUCCUCGUCGUCCCGCACAACAAAGGGCGCAUAGUGUAGAAGCUGAGAGAACUCCUUCUCGUACUCGGCCACAAUCCGAUCCCCCUGGCACAUCUCGCGUAGAUCCUGCUCCAUUUUCCUCUUCACGCGGACGAGGAAGUAAUGCUCCAACAAGAGCUCCUUGAAUCUCUUCCAAGAAAUCGCUGCUAGGUCGGUGUUGGGAUUAUCCUGGAUGCCCACCCACCAACUAUAGGCCUCGCCGUCCAAAUGGUGAGUGGCGAGCCAAACUCUAUCUCUCUCCUCCACGAAGGUGUCGCGGAAUAACUUCUCCAUGUGCAUCAACCACUUCUCAACGAUUCAGUGGUCGGCUUUCUCUCCAUCGAAGAUCCUGGGAUCGUACCUCCUGAACUCGUCGAGGCGAUCCAUGAGUCGCUGACGCUCCACUUUUUUUCAACCAUCAAAGGAAAAGUCGCCGCUGCCACAGGCACCUGAGCUGGUGGUGCUGCCAAUAUCUCCUCCCGAAAGCUACUGUAAGUGUCGUCUGCGAAGUGUCGAGUACAGGGGACGACCCCCCCCCCGGCCACCAAACUGUCUCCACUGGCGCAGGUAGUAAAAGACUGAGCCUUUUGGGCAGCGUGCUGUAAAGAAGGUCCUCCAGGCCGCUGCAUCAUACCUCUGCCGGCGUGCUGUAUCCACGCAGCUGUCGAGUCGUCGCCGCUUGCUGUGUUACGAAAUCAGCGAGGCCGCAAGCUGACUCCUCAACUCACGGACCUCACCUGAUCCGGGUAGCGGAUGUCUCCGCUUCCUCAAAGUCGCCGCAGUCGUCCGCUUUACAACUUAGAGCGUGUAGCGCAUCAACACUACAACAACAUAAAAGCGCAAGUUUCAUAAUAACCCCCGCUAUCGGAACCCCGCUGAACAUGACAAUAUCCAAAUCAUGCGAAAGUAGAAGUGUCCGAACUCACUAACUCCCAGAUGUUACGUUGUCGGCCGCCAACGUAACCCUCCCGAAGUUAGAAGCCAUACACUUCGAUCGAACCAACUUCUUGGAGUUAUCAGAAGAAACCCAAUCAUGAUACUUCGCUCAUAAAUAUAAUAGAACCUCAUCUCUCACGAGUCUAAUUCCUAUAGUCCACCGCCUAAGGUUCGCUAGGUCUACUCAGACUCAACCCUAGGCUCUGAUACCAAAUUAAUCUUGUCACGCCCGACCGUAUAGGCCCGACCGUGCGCGCCCCAAACCCGCCAUAUGUCUACACAUAUAAGCGUCUUACACAAAAGCGAAGAGUAAAGUAUGAGAAUCUCUGCAACUAGAGAUAUCAGAGCAAGUAUAUAGCUAGGUUCUAACACAGGUAGAAUCAAAAGAAAUAUAACACUAAGCAUAAAGUUAAACUGAUACAUCAUAAAUCUCAAGAUACAAAAAUAGGGUGGUCCUAUACGACCAGGUACAAACUCUCACAACCUCUCCAAAAGAGCAAACAGAGAGGUGGCCACCUAUCACUCAAGUCCCUCGAUAGCUAACUCGAGGCGAAACUUUUCCGCGCAUCCGAGCCUCUCCGCGGAUGGAAGGCCUGAAAAGAAAACAUAAAACAGGGGGCGUGAGAACUAUAAUUAUAGUUUCCAGUGGGCAAUUAACUACCUACAUCAACUGCACACUAGGCCCAAAACAACAGAUAUAAGAUAACGAAAUAACGUUGCGAAAAUAAAGGCAUAUAUUGAAAUGCUAAUACUCUAUCCACAAAUAUUCUGAAUAUCAACAUGGAGUACAUCUACUCUACAUGAUCCAAUAUGUCAAAACUUAAACAAUAUGGCGCUGAUGCAACAAGUAAUGCUAUGAAGUAUGCUAUACUGACCAAAUCUCCACUACAUAUCUAGUAUGUACUAUCAUAGCAAUAAGAAUACUACCAUGUAAUAAUGAUACUGUCAAUAUACUCUAAGCCCAAAUGUUAACACUAUGCCAUAGCAUAUCAAGAGUCAACUACUAUAACCUAGCUAGUAGGAUUGUCCACUUGUUGCUUAAUAUCUGGUUCAAUCUCAAUUAGGAUCUAACAAGGUGUAGUCGGCUUGUGCCGCCUAAGUGCCAGUGGUAAGCUCAGCAUUCCUACUCUAGAAUGAGUCUAUCCCCUCAGCCCGUGACCUACUCGAUACCGGACGAGCGAACAUAAUCGCGUAGCCUAACUCCGGAGUGCCGCUUGUAGGGAGCGACCCUCACAAGCAUGUGCGAAUGAGCACAAAUGGCAAGACAGCAUGGUCAAUACCUCAAUAGUCCAAUCGUCAUGUCUCCAAACAUGGUAAUAGCCACCCAACAGUCCAGUGUGUUAACGGGAUCUACUUCCAUCCCUGUUAUGAUUAAGAGAUUCUUCAAGCAAAUGAGUAGAUAAUCUUGUGACAAGUAUGAUGUUUGCCUUGGGCCUAUUGACUCAGUGACUUGGGCUAAGUCUGUAUGCACUCUCAGUCAUUCCAUCAGACCAAAGGGCCACUCCUGAAGCAUCUAGCCCAGCACCUCCACCGAGAGCAGCUUCUAGCUCUGCUCCUCCGCCUCCAUCCCGAGGGAGUUAUGAUACUUCAUCUAGUUCGGGGGGAGCGACGACAUUGGAAUCAGUUAAGGAUGAUUUGCGAAAAUUAAAGAAGAAGGUGAACAACAUUGGAAGAAAAGUUGAGUCUAGCAUCAAAAAGUUUGAAUUAAGUAUCAAAAGAUUGAUGGAUAAGAUGGGGUGUCGACAUGAUGAUAUUUGGGAACCUACUCCAUCUUCUGCUUCGUAUCAGCGGUCAUCUUCACGACAUCCUCUCAUUCCAUCGUCUGGUGAUGCUCCUGAGGCUGGGGGUUCUGGAGCUGGUGCUGGAGAUGAUGAUGAUGAUGACGAGGACAUGGAGUGAUUUCUUCGUCGAGAUUAGUCUUUCUCUUUCACUGCAUUUGCUGUUUAGGAUGAUGUUUUAGUUUUAGUUCUACUUGUUUUUUCUUUUAGGCCUGUAACUAUGACUUGACUACGCUUAUGCUUUUCUAGCUUGUUUUCUCUCUCUAUUUGCUUUCUUUUGGCAAUUUUUGACAAAAAGGAGGAGAGCGUAGAUAAAGGGGGAGAGCGUAGAUGAAGGGGGGGAGCAUGAAUGAACAGGCAUUGAACUAAAGCAGAGGAUGAUAAGUUCAAGACCAAAGGGGGAGAUGUGAACAAAGACAAAGAAGGUAUAAGAAUUUAAGGCUAAUCAAGGCUAAUCAUUUUUGAGUGAAUUGUUUUGCAGGAUUUCAAGACUUCAAGACUCCUAGUUGCGUCUAAGUCAUAGAAUCUGUUUUAGUAGUUUUGAAAUGUAUUUUGAGUUUCAAAUUGUAUUUGGAUUACACGCGAGGAGUUCAAUGUUUUGGUGAUGACAAUUGAACUUCGUUUGUCACGCCCCGAGAUCCGCCUAUUUGGUCGGAUUCGGGCACGCCGACAGACCGCCGAACGGACAGAGCCUCCCCUGUACGUUCCAUGCGUCACAAUCUAUACAAUGCAAUACAAGAGGUUCCAAACAGGAACUGUAUUCAACCACAGAUUGCAUAAGUAUCAAAAACAUAAAAUGCUAACUAUGCUAUUACAAGCAUUCAUCUCAGAAUUUUUACUUUUACAAUAUUACAUAAGCCUUUAAAUUAUUACAACUUAUACACUUUUACUACAAUUUUGUUUCAUUCAUAUUGAUACGCUGAGCUUGACUCUUCAGGGUAUUGCUAUCUCGGUCUGUAACAUAUGGAAACUUGGAAUUGCGAUGUCAACUUUGACCUAGAGGGUCAAAGUGAGGAUUGAGCUAGUUGGACAUCAUCCUCGAGUGAUUUGUGAUGCGUUGGAAUGAAUUUCGGAGAUAAAUAAGUGUUUCGGCGCAAAUUGGGCGCGAAACAAAAUAUAAAGAGAAUUUCGGAUUUCCGACGCUAACUUUGAUUAAAAGAAAUGAAAGUAAGGCGUAAAGAUAAAUUGUGGCAUCUCCGAAUCAGUUGGGAAGUCUUGGAAAAGCCAAGGGUGUGUUAUCAAAGGGCUUUGAAGAGCUCAGGGCGAAGUGGUAGUGUGAAAAAGGAGAAAGUGCAUUGGAGCUGAUUCUAUUUCUCAUUCGGCUCCAAUAAUGUCAAAAUGAAAAGGAAUGGCUUCCAAAUUGAAUUGGUAGCUUGUGAAGGUCCCUUGGUAUAUUUUGGACAUGUUUGGAAGAAAUCGGAGCGAAAACGAAAAAUGUAGAAUUUUCUGUAAAGAACGGGACUGAGAAAAUUAGCAGAAAAUGCACAAUUCUGCCUCCUGGAAAAGGAGUUUCGUGCCCGAAACGGCGGUCAACCACACAGACCCCGCGAAUAUAAUGGAAGAAGCGCUCCCAACAGCGCCGCCAACAGACAUAAUGCCAGUGUGGCUGGAAAACUCCACAGGCGGCAACACAGGCACAAUCUUCGGCGCGCAAGGGUUUUGGCAUAACAACAACCCACACUUCCUGAUAAAGCUUCUACUCAAGCUCACCGAAAUUUCGCAUUGCUUCAAUCGGCUUGAUUUCAGUCUUCCAUCGUUCUUAGGAAUCAAGUGUUUCCGAACGCUGAUCCAAUUCUCACAUAUCUCGCCCAAGUGGGGGUAAAGCCCUUGCUUACUGCUUCAAUUACUCUGGUGAUAUAGGAUUACAUCCAAAACCGCCGAAGGUGAUUUCAAGCACUGUCAAACACAAGACAUUUGGGGGUUAAAAUCCUACUCAUCUAUCCAAACAUUGGACGUGCUCAUACAUAGUCAACGCUCCGCGAGGAGAGGUGAUGAACAUCCGCUGAUCGGCUCAUAUUCCAACAAUGAUCCUCCAAUCCAGUCUCUCUCGAGAUGGCCUAACUAAGCGUAAUCAAUCGCAUUUAAGUGCAUGUAAUUUCCAUCCACUGCACAUUUCACAACGUCCAUCAUUCGUCCACCUUAGGUGGCAGGACGGUUCCAAUCACACGAAGGUAACCACUCGAAAGUACAGAAAUCCUGAUACGUCCAACUGCGCCAUGCAUGGGAUUACUUGUUCUCAUUCGCACUGCGUAUGAUUCUCCACACAUUCUCGAACAUACGCACUUCUCGGAGUACCCUCCAUUCCUCCGCAAAACAUAGCAUACGGACCAAGCUCAAAAGCUCAAUUCAUUCACUAAGAUCAUCAUCUAUCCAACUAAGUCCAAGCAACGCUCAGAAUUCGAUUGUAAAGCUUUCCUAGUCACCGGAUGCCCCAGGUUCGUAAGCAUCGGACUCAGUUCACGAUUGCGAUAGGAGGAAGGGUCAUCCACGGUUCGAUAACGAGCUUUCUAUCAAGGUCACUCUGAUGCACUAUCAAAGCCAAAAUUAAUUCCAAAGUUCAUAAUACAGUUCUAUCCCGAAGGCAUAAAUCCUUGUACAAGCUCAAGACACGGGAAAAAUAGGACUUGGUACAUUCCCCUCCACAAAAUUCCAUACAUCAUGAAGUUCACAACUCGAUGCUUUCAAACCUCCCACGCAGUUAAACUCGGCAUGCCUAUAAAAAUACCCAAGUCAAUCGCGCGGACUGUCCACAAUCCCAACAGCACGCGCGGAUUAUCAUUCUGCAAAUCCCUUCCACUGGUGAGUCUAGCAGUCUUGAACAUCAUCCUGUGAGGUUCGCAACCAUGCAUCAUGCCCGUUCGAGGUGUAACGUCAAACUCCAACAUCAAAUGGAAACCUAUCAGAUCGGUCACGAGUCUAAAUCGAAUUAACCAAACUCAAUGCAAGUGACAAGAUCAUUGGGCUCAACGCUGUCCAAAGACACCAGACGUGGUUUAAUUUGAACACGAUGGUCCCGAACAUACCGUCGAAACGGCCCAACGCUCCCACAAGUGAGAGUGCCUCUCCACAAACAAAACACACUAUAGAACCUCCCUGCCGGAAUCGAGCUAAUAUUAGUGACUGAUCAGGGACAAGAAUCGAACCGAUCAAGGAACCUUUAUUUCAAGGAUUCUCACCACCAAAGAGUGAUGCCACGUCAGGCCUCUAACCCUGCUCCAGAGCACUUUCCCAAUUUUAGUAAAGGAGACAAUCAAACAUCUAUCGGAAGUAAAUCUUAAAUCCACUAUUUGUGCAUCACGUCUCAAGAGAGUCAAGUCGCUCGCGAAUCGACCAGAUACAGGUACGCUCACAACAACUCACACCACAGGAAGGCCAAUCUAUUUGUUGGCACACCGAACAUCUCAAGGGGAUAGGGCGUGUCGAAAUUCAACAGUUGGCCCGAUCAACCGAUCAACCACGGGCACGCGCAAACAGCUCAACGCUAACAAAUCCUCGGUCUGGGUAAUCACACUCAGUGUGUACCUUGAUCUGAUCCAACACGUGCUUUCCAUGUCCGAGGUCGAGGCUCGGACUAACAUCCUAACAAAACCUGCCGUACCAACAGGUCCGGCCGCUGUCACCACGCCGCUGCGCUUACGCGCACCGGGCCCAGGCUCCACACUCCCAAAUGGUCGCAGGGGCACGGUCUGCUCCAAGCCCAUCUGGCAAACAGCGCGAGCCAGGGAUCAACUAAUGCACUCGCUCGUGAGCAUCUACAUGCUAUGCAAAAAUAAAAAAAAUAUGCUACCCGCAAUUCGCGAAACAAUCGCCUAGUCGAGGGUACACAGUCACAGAAACAUCGAACUAACCGAAAUGCUAUGCAACUCGGCGAAUAGCCGAUCAGAAAUAGAUGCAAAAUGCACCAAUAGCAAAAAAUGCCACACAAAUGCCACAAGGGACCGAUACUGAAAUUACACAAACUUGGCUGCGCCCGCCUUCGUCAUUGUGAUCUAGGGACCACAUACGCACAGCUGCAUGCGGGCCCGUGUGACCCUUCGUCUGUCUCAGAAGGUGCAGCAUGACGCCAGUAGUGAGCAGAAGGCGUCCCUUGGGCCUGGACCCGGUAAAGCUGGGCGGCCGAUGCUGAAGAUGGCGCUGCUGCUACAGCCCUCGAAUAGUCGGGACAAGGAAGUGACCUCCUGGCCACACGAGACACUGCCCUGCCUCUGUGAGCAUGGGCUACGGUAAGUGACGACCACCGCAGACUACGCAGCUCAGAGUUUUGACGACAUCGGAAUCCUCUAAUGCCCGUGGUGAUGAGCGACGUCAUCGCGAACUGGCUUUCGGUUCCCUAGAAUGUUUCGGCGCCUCCCAGAGUGCGUCCUGAUUCGCAUGCCUCCAUCGCGGGCCUCUCUUGCCCUUUCUUUGUUCGAAGGCCUUUUUGACCUCCUGAAAGUCUGGGCGCAGCUUUCCAGAUGAGCACGCGUUCACCCACAUUUGCAAGGUCCGAGGAUUGGAGGGUUUCGCCAACUGAUAGAGUCGACGGUCGACCGUACCCGCUCGAGAGAUGCGAGCCUUAUCCUCGUCGUCCCGACAACAAAGGGCAUAGUGUAGAAGCUGAGAGAACUCUUCUCGUACUCGCCACUACGAUCCCCCUGGCACAUCUCGCGUAGAUGCUGCUCCCUUUCUCUUCAGCCGCGGACGAGGAAGUAAUGCUCCACAAGAGCUACUUAAAUCUCUCCAAGAAAUCGUGGCAGGUCGGUGUUGGGAUAUCCUGGACUCCCACCCACCACUAUAGGCUCGCGUCCAAAAUGGUGAUGGAGCCAAAUCUACUUCUCCUCCACGAAGGGAUGUCGCGGAAUAAUUCUCCAUGUGCAUAAAACCAACUUCUCAAGCGAUUCAAGUGCGGCUUCUCUCCCAUCGAAGAUCCUCGGAUCGUACCUCCUGAACUCGUCGAGGCCGAUCCAUGAGUCGCUAGAACGUUUUUUUCUCCACUUUUUUUCAACCAUCAAAGAAAAAGUCGCCGGCUGGCCGAAGCAACCUGAGCUGGUGUGCUGCAAUAUUCCUCCCGAAAGCUACUGUAAGUGUCGUUGCGAGUGUCGAGUACAGGGACGACCCCCCCCCCGGCCACCAAACUGUCUCCACUGCGCAGGUAGUAAAAGACUGAGCCUUUUGGGCAGUCGAUGUGUAAAGAAGGUCUCAGGCGCUGCAGUCAUACCUCUGCCGGCGUGCUGAUCGACCAGCUGUCUGAGCGUCGGCGCUUGCUGUGUUACGAAUCAGCGAGGCCGCAAGCGUUGACUCCCUAACUCCGACCGUCACCUGAUCCGGGUAGCGGAUGUCUCGCGCUUCCGUCAAAAGUCGCCGCAUCGUCCGCAUUUACAACUUAGAGCGUGUAGCGCAUCAAAUCAACAAUACAUAAAAGCCAAGUUUCAUAAUAACCCCCCGCUAAUCUUGGAACCCCGCUGAACAUACAAUAUCCAAAUCAUCCGCGAAAGUAUGAAGUGUCCGAACUCACUAACUCCCAGAUGUUACGUUGUCGGCCGCCAACGGUAACCCUCCCGAAGUUAGAAGCCAUACACUUCGAUCGAACCAACUUCUUGGAGUUAUCAGAAGAAACCAAUCAUGAUACUUGCUCAUUAAAUAUAAUAGAACCUCAUGCUCUCACGAGUUAAUUCCUAUAUGUCCACCGCGAUAAGGUUCGCUUAGGUCACUCAGACUCAACCUAGGCCUCUGAUACCAAAUUAAUCUUUGUCACCAGGCCCCGACCGGUAUAGGCCGACCGUGCGCCCACCAAACCCGAUAUGUCUAACACAUAUAAGCGUCUUCACAAAAGCGGAAGAGUAAAGUAUGAGAAAUUCUGCAACUAGAAUAUCAGAGCAAGUAUAUAGGCUAGGUUCUAACACAGGGUAGAACAAAGAAAUAUAACACUAAGCAUAAAGUUAAACUGAUAAUAUAAUCUCAAGAUACAAAAUAGGCGUGUCUCUAAUAACUGACCAGGUACCAAAACUCUCCAAAACAACCUCUCCCAAAAGAGUCAAACAGAGAGGUGGCCACCUAUCACUAAGUCCCGUCUAUAGCUAACUCGAGGCGAAACUUUUCCGCGAUCUUCGAUGCCUCUCCGCGGAUGGAAGCUCUGAAAAGAAAACAUAAAAAGGGGGCGUGAGAACUAUAAUUAUAGUUCAGUGGGCAAUAUAACUACCUACAGUCAAAACUGCACACUAGGCCCAAAACAAGCAGAUAUAAAUAACGAAAUAAAGAUUGCGAAAAUAAAGCAUAUAUUCGAAAUGUAUACUACUAUACCAGCAAAUAUUACUGAUAUCAAACAUGAGGGUACAUCUACUCUACAUGAUCCAAAUAUGUCAAAAUUAAACGAUAUGGCGCUGAUGCAACAAGUAAUGCAUGAAUAUGCUAUACUGACCAAAUCCCACAUAUUAGUAGUACUAGUCAUAGCAAUGUAAGAUACUACAAUGUUAAUAAGUGAUACUUGUCAUAUACUCUAAGCCCAAAUUAUAACCACUAUGCCAUAGCAUAUAGAGUCCGAACUACUAUAACGCUAGCUAGUAGUGAAUGUCCACUUGUUGCUUAAUAUCUGGUUCAUCUCAAUUGGAUCUAACAAGGUGUAGUCGGCUUGUGCCGCUAAUGCCAGUGGUAGCUCAGCAGUCCUACUCUAGAUGAAUGAGUCUAUCCCUCCAGCCCCUUGGACACUCGAUACCCAGACGUCGAUACAUAAGUCGCGAGGCCUAACUCCGGCAGUGCCGGCUUGGAGGGAAGCGACCCUCACAAGCAUGUGCGAAUGAGCCACAAAUCAAGCAUCAGCGAUGGAUCAAUACCUCAAUAGUCGCAAGUCGUCAUGUUCAAAUGGUAAUAGCCACCCAACGAGUCCAUGUGUGUUAACGGGAUCUACUUCCAGUCGCCUGUUAUGAUUAGAGAGAUUCUUCAAGCAAAUGAGUAGAUAACAUCUUGUGACAUAGUAUUAUGGUUGCCUUUGCUAUUGACUCGAGUACUUGGGCUAGUCUGUUAUGCCAUCUCAGUCAUUCAUCAGACCAAAGGGCCACUCGAAAGUGUACCGGUACACAUCCUACGAAAAUGCAAACCCGAGGCUCGGGUUCGAAAUUCGCCGCAAGUGUACCGGUACAACCAUCAGAAGUGUACCGGUACAAAAUGUGUACCGGUACAGCCAUCGACCUGUCACCGGUUACACCUCGUGCAGAAUGCAAUCCGAGGGUAGGCUAAGUCCAACUCUUUAGUGACCUUAGCGCUACAUAAAAUACUACAAUUCUCGGGAUUCGAACCAUAGGUCGGAACACUGUCAACGACCCACCAGAAAAUCUGGAAAAGCUCAGGACACAGUCCAAACACUCGAACCUCGCAAUUUGUAAAGGUCCAGUGUGUUACAAGAGGAGUGUUGGGUAUAUUACAUGUUGUAAUAUUUGCAACUAAGCCACCCAAAAACUCUUAUAUGCAACAGACCUUAUUGUUACAGCCAAACCAAAGUGUACCGGUACACGGGCUGCUGUCAUCGGUAACACGAUUACACAGAGGCAAACCCGAGAGCAGCCUCCUCGGAUUUUACCAAAGUGUACCAGUACAAACCAGGGGUGUACUGGUACACUUCUGCGAAAACUUAAACCCGAGAGCAGCUUCCUCUCGCGUUGCUGGUCUGUACCGGUUACAACUCGAUGGUUGUACCGGUACACAUGCUCCAGAAUGCAGUUUUAGUUCCGAUUCGACUCUACUUCGCGCCGGUCGAUGCUAAAACUUUUCUAAUCUCUCUUAAACUCAUUUUUAACCCUUCCAUUAUUGUUGGAAUGCUAAAUGCAACUUGUCCAUCUAUCUCUUUCGCAUACUUUAGUUAAUUUGGUUAAAGUUCGAUAAUCGUUCUCGAGAUUUCAAUAUGUUACAAGUAACCUUUUUCUCUCUCUAAUUCUAGGAUUUGUAAAGAUUUGGAUCGAAUUUCUAGUUUUAUAAAAAUUACGGUUUAAUUUGGAGAUUUACAAAUGAUGAUUUUUCGGAUGAAAUUGGUGACUGUAGAACACUCUUAUAAAUUGGAUUUGGAAUCCCGAUGCCUUAAUUAAAAUUGGAGAUUACAGUUUAAUUUGGAGAUUUACAGUUUAAAUUGGAACACUCUUAUAAAAAUUACAGUUUAAUUUGGAGAUUUACAAAUGAUGAUUUUUCGGAUGAAAUUGGUGACUGUAGAACACUCUUAUAAAUUGGAUUGGGAAUUCCGAUACCUUAAUUAAAAUUGCUACCUUUUUUUAUCAUUGGAUGUUUAGAGUUUAAUGUAGGGGUGUAAACGAGCCGAACACGACCGAGCUGGGGUCAGCUCGUGUUCGCUCGUUUAAUAAACGAGCCAAGCCAAACACGAGCUGGCUCGUUAAAGCAUCGAGCCAAAAAAUUCAGCUCGUGUUCGGCUCGUUAAUAAACGAGCCGCACACGAGCUGGCUCACGAGCUGGCCAACGAACAAUAAGUUAAAAGGAUUAGAUUGAAUAUAUAUAAAAAAUAAAUUUAUAAAAUCUUAUCCAUUAGACUUGGAUCUAAUAGUUGAAACUUUACAUAUAAAUAAGUCUUUUUAUAAUUAAGCUUGCAUUUAUAUUUUUAAUUUGCUAAAAAUUAAAUAAUAAAAAUAUAUAUUAUAUAUAAUUAUUUAUUUAUAUAUAUAAAUAAUAAUUAAAUAAAUUAUAUAAAUAUAAAAUAUAUGUAUUCGAGCUGUUAUCGAGCCGAACAUAAGCGAGCUGACCCCAGCUCGUGUUCGGCUCGAUUAAUAAACGAGCCGAAAAAUUCGGCUCGUGUUCGGCUCGUUUAAUAAACGAGCGAUUCGAUCUCGAGCUCAUUUUGAGCCGAACACGAGCUGGCUCGCGAAACAGCGAGCUGGAUUGCCACCCUUAGUUUAAUGGUGUUAGUUGAAAUAGUAAUAACUCAAUGACAAAAAAGCAGAUAGUAAACAUUAUUGAUAUACUAUCAAUAGAAAACUAGUUCAACUUCUCUCUCUCUCUCUCUAUAUAGUAUAUAUUUAUAUGGAUGGAGCUAGAAUAUUCCUAAAAAUAUAGGAAUACUAGGAAAAUGUUUGUUACUUAUAUAUAAUGUAACACCUCAAUAGUCCCACAUCGGAUGGGAAUGAGGUUGUGUUUUGUAUAUAGGAGACCAUAGACACUAGAACUAGUAAGUGGGCUUAAGCAUUUUGAGUCGAUGGUUUUGGUCCAACGAGUUAUUGUUGCUAGUGGGUCAAGUCGUUAUAUUUUGUAUUAGAGCCGAUUAUUAGCCGGAAGUGUGUGACGAGCUUCGGCUGAGUUAAGGUUUGAAUGACCAAAUAACAGGCUAUGCCAGGGUCUGAAUGAUAAGGCUGGCGAGACAAGUCUCACAUCGCCUGUUAAUUUUGGGCGGCCUAAACGGGAAAAGUCUGUGACACCUCAAUAGUCACAAUAGUCCGACAUAGGAUGGGAAUAAAGUUGUGUUUGCAAUAUAAAAGACCAUGGACACUAGUAAUAGUAAGUGGGCUUAAGUAUUAUGGGCCGGGUCAUUAUAUUUGGUAUCAGAGCCAAUCUCCAGCCGAAAAUAUGUGAUGAGUCUUGGUUGAACCAAGCUCUGGAUGUCAAAGUUAGCGAGACAAAUCUCAUAUUACCUUGGUGAUCUUGGGCUGACAAGGAAGUCAGGGCCUAAUGGCCUAAAUGGGAGACUUAGUAACACCCCAAUAGUCCCAAAUUAGAUGAGACUGAAUGUUUGGUAUAUAAGAGACUAUGGUAUCGUUUGGUUCGGGGAUAAGCAAAAAGUGGAUAUUCCGGGGAUAGGUAUAAAUUGAGGUAUAAGCGGGGAUUAGAUGAAUUUUGCGUUUGGAUGAAAAAUUAAGUAUUCCUGAGAAUAAGAAAAAUAGCGUUUGGUUAGGUAAGAUGGGAUAAGAAUUAAAGUGAGUAUUUAUAAAUAAAAAAUAAUAAUAUUUUUUUUCUUUAUAUUAGAAUUUAAUUUUUUAUAUUUUAUAUUUAUAUUUUAAAUUUUAAAAUAUAAACUUUUAAAGUUUAAAAAUUAAAAUUAAAAUUUAAAAUUUUAAAAUCUCAAAUUUAUAAUUUUAAAAAAUUAAUUUUUAAAAUUUUGAACUUUAAUUUAAGAUGAAAUUUUAAUUUAAAAUACAAAAUAUCAUAUUCUAAAUAUAAAAAAAUUAAAAUAUCAAAUUUUAANGUCCUAUUGGGCAAUUCCCACCCUUAUCGAACAAGGGUGGGAAUCCACCUUAUCCCCACCCUUGUUGAACAAGGGUGGGGGAAAAAAAAAUUUUUUUUUUUUUAAAUUAAAAUUAAAUUAAAAUCAAAAUUUUUAAAUAUUAACCAUUAAAGUUUUAAGUUCAAAUGGAUAACCCGUUAAGGGUGGGAAUAGCUUGUUCCCACCCUUAAAUAUAGUGUUUGGGGAACAAGGAGGGGAUAACCCCUUAUCCCCACCCUUGUUUCCCAACCAAACAGGGCCUAUAGGUACUAGUAAUAACAAGUGGGGUUAAGCCCAAAGUUUAAGCCCAACCUGUCCAUAAUCAAAUAAUGUAACUUCAACAACGUAAUUUGAGUGGCAAAAUCAUUCUGGCAAAAUUAUUUGAUGUAGAACUAAGUCCUACAUCAAAUAAUGUAGAACUUGAUUGUAAUAUUUCGAAAAAUCAGAACUAAAAUUUUCAUCAAAAAAAAAGAAACAAAAACAAAAACAGAAGCUUAAGAAAUGAAAUGCCGCCAACAUAAUUUGAGUGGCAAGAGGGCAGCAUUUCUUUUUCAAAACAAAAGUUUGGCAGUCCAAAAAGUCAUUUCAUGCGCAUAUUAAACGUAUGUAUGUACGAAAGUAAGCUUUUUGAGCUUUAGAAUUUGGGUGUUUUAAGGCAAUUGCGGUCUUUAUUAAGUCAUCUGAGCAAACAAAACCUAAUAGCGGCCUCAUUACGUCGUCACAGCAAACAAAAAACAAAACUAGUCCAAGUUGAGGUUGUGAUGCUUUGGUUAUAUAUGUUUGGUUCAAAGUAAAAUUAGGACAAAAAAAAAAUUUUCGUGUUAAAAAAUUUUACAUUUUUUAACAUUUGGUAUAUGUAAGAAAAGAAAAAUCGUAUCCAGACAUGCUUGCUCGGUUGAAAAGAAAAAUUAAAUGGUAAAUAAUUUUAUAUAAUUUUUUUCGAUUUAUAUAUUAUGUAGUAUUUAUAUAAAUAACUGUCAUAUUAUAAAUGUAUUAUAAUUAAAAUAUUUAUAAAUAUAUUAUUAUUAGAGCAAUGCUUAAAUACUCCGUUGUAAUCUUAGCCGUUUAUUUUUAAUCAAUGAAGGGUUAAGAUUUAUGCAUAAAAAAAGAUGACCUACUAUUGCACAAGAAGUACAAGUCACCAGGUAUGUGAUCUAGAAAUUUUUUUGGAAAAAAAAAGAGCUAAUAUUAAAAAAUUAAAAAACUAACAUUGGAAAGUUUUGCAUACUACCCUUAAGUUUUCAGAGAGAGAGAGAGGGAUGUGCUUUGAUAUAUCUCCCCUCACUCCCCUCUAUGUUUGCUCCGUUACAUUUUUAUGGUUUUUCGGGGAGUGGAUGAGACCACAUGGCCAUGUGCCCUAGCGCAUGGCCAUGUCCUCGGUUGGGCUCUCGUUGGGCGCGCGCCGGGUCACGUCACAUGGCCAUGUGGAACUACCGACAUGGCCAUGUCGUUCGUCUUUUUGACGAUAAACGUCUAAAAGAAGCGACUUCCGACGGGAGCGCAGCGUGUCUCAGGCAAAACGCAGAUAAACCGCGGUUGCGCUGAGUCUGGACAGGGCUGUGAGAUGUCUCGACAGCUGUUCGGAGGUCUCGACUUGUGGUCCCUAGAGUGUAACUAGCUCGGCUUAUGUAUAUAUUAACAAAGGUAGUACAAUUCCUAGGCAAACCAAGUUACAUUUUAGUAUUUUUUAUUAAAAAGCAUUUUUUUUUAAAGCACGUUUUUUAAUAAAUGUAAAAUAUCACAAACCAAAAAUCCCCUUUUUUCAAAAGUUAGUUGUAAAUAAAUCAACUUUAUUUUUUUUUAGUUUAUAUAAACCAAGCCACCUUUUUUUUUACUUACUUUUAUUAAAAUACGUCGAAUUUAAAAAUAAAAGGUCGUUUUUUGACACCUUUUGUUUUUGAAGUUUAAAAAAAGUUUAGGCAUUUUAAUAAAAAUAUCCUUUUAUAAAAAUACAGCUUGGUUAAAUAUCAUAAAAAGUAUAUAUAUCUUUUAUUAAAAAGCCAAGUAAAAAUGUAGUUUCGUUUACGGGGUAACGAAAGAAGGAGUAAACAAUCUACAUUUAUUUAAAAGGCAUUUUCAUAAAAAUGCUUAAAUUUUUUUAACUUCAAAAAUAAAAGGCAAUAAAAGACCGUCUUUUGUUUUUUACAUACUUUUUUUCAGUGAAUAGGAGAGCAAGAGAAAUAUAAUUAUAUGAUAAUAUUUUAUAAUAUAAAUAUUUAUAUAUAAAUAUAUAAUAUAUAAUGAUCUAUAAUACAAUAUAUAUAUAUUUAAUAAUAUAUAAUGUAAUAUAUAUAUCAUGUUAUAUUAAAACUUAUAUAUCAUAUUAAGCUUCUACAAAUUUAAUAUUUAUAUCUAUUACUACUACUACUCUUAUUAUUAUUCUCUUUAUGAAGAUAUGUGGUCGGUUAAAUUUAGGCUGGUAAGUUAAAAACUACAAUUCUAACUGAAAAUGUGUUACCAUUGCAUGUACGAGUUGUCUAAUGGUUAGUUAGUAUUUUUAUUAUAAACUUUGAUACGUAAUCGAUUAAUGGUUUAAACUAUUAUAGGUUGUUUAGAAGUAAAGGAUUAAAUUAAAACAAUGAAUGGUUGAAUCUAUUACCGAUUAAAGUAUUCACUAUUUAGAAGUAUUUAAGUUUAAAUUUUAAAUUGAACUCAAAUUUGAAAUAUAAAUAUUAUAAAUUUAAAAUCUUUCUUUUUAAAUAUAAAUUUGUUCAUUUGUAAAGUUAAGUUUAACAGUUAAGUUAUAAUUUGAUUGUACUUUCAAGUUUUUAAUUACAAUUAUAGAAAUUUUAACAUUAAAUUAAUUCAAUAUCACAUAAAUAUUUGAAAAUAAUAAAUAAAUUUAUUUUCUAAAGAUGUAAAAUUUCAUUCAAUUUUAACAAUUAAGUUAUAACUUUUUGUUAUAAUUUAAAGUUUUUAUAACUAGUUUAAAUUUAAUAUUUAAAUCUAAAUUAAAUAUAAUAUGAAUUUUUUAUUUAAAACAAUUGAUAAAUUUGUAUUUCAAAGCUACAAACUUUUAAUUAAAAUUUAAUAUUUAAUGAUUUAAAUACUGAGUUUACGCUAGUAUUUAAUAAUAAUUUUAGCCGAAAUUUUUACCUAUUAAAUUAAUUUUUAAAUAAGAGAGGUACUANUGUAGGGAGAGAGAGAGAGACUUUUGCUGCCAUUCUCCAUCUCUCUCUCGCUCUUCCAUCCGGUUGAAGGCAAGGUGGAACUCGGGUGGAGUUUUGUCGCCGACGUCGCGCCGCGAAGCCGCUAGAGCUUGUGUUGACGCCGGGGCUUUGCGAGGAGGCCGGGCGAGCGGAGGUUUUCGCCGUCCUUGCUGUCACACAGGUACUUGGUGUUGUCGAGGUGAGUAUUCAGCAUUUCUUUGGAUUUUUGGGCAAAUUCUUACGACUUCAACUCGAGGAGAUGUUGUUUGCUGAAUUUCACCGUCGACUGUUUGUAUUUUGGCUCGUUCUCGACGUAGGAGCAUCGGAUUGCGACGAGACUUGGUUCGUUGGAUUCGGGACUGCGAGAGGAAUCCACGAAGCCCUUACUUGCGAAUUUUGGUGAAGGUUAGCUCGGUCGAAUCCCGUUUUUACUCAGCUGCUGUGGAUUUUGGACUGAAUUGAGAAAUUUUGGCGUUUUUUUAGUUUGGAGUUCGCUCGAUUUCGAGACUCGGGCAUUUUUGGUCAAUCCAGCAGGUGGUGUUGCAGCCGAGGGUGUUCCGUGCUGCCAGGGAUUAGCGAGCGAGGUGGGUUACAUCGGUUCGACUCCUAAGUUCAUAAUCGUCGACAUGUAUAUAUCUCUAUUUUAGUAAUCUAGUUUGGCUCAGAUUUUUGAAUGAUUUUAGAUUGGUAAAAUCUGAAUUCUCGAGCAUGUUUCAUAAUUUAAAUAGAUUAUACAUGUUGGACUUGAAAAUUGAAUUAGGAGAAAACCUGCGAUUUGGACCUGUCACCAGAGCGAGAGCGGAACAACAAUAGUACUCAGUGGCGCCACUGCCAAAACAAACAUCGUCACAUCACUAAUGUUCUACAGAAGGGAGGUCACAGGAUAGAAGUGAAAAGUCAGGAAGCAUAAUUCUACCGGCUAUCAUCCACAUACAACUAGCAUCCGGCUCUAAACCACUAACACAACUGCUAGUAAUGUCAAAUCUGACUACCAAUCCUAAAUCGGGACUAGGUAAGCAUAUCCGUGACCGCCGGUGACUCGUGAAUACCAACCGUCCGCCUGCCCCGUUGCGACCUAUCGGGGGCUCUAUCACAUUAUUCUACUGUCCGUGAGAGCAAGUCUCAACUGGCAUGCGCGACACCAACCUGCAAAAGCACGGAUAGCCAUAUAUGACUAGCCCAGGAGUGCACCUCGUGGCGCUCCCGCAAGCCGAGUAUGCAGCGUAUUCUGUCCGAAGCUCACAAUCAAGGCUCCAAACUAGCCAAAGUCAAGUAAAUCGACUCAAAAUGGUCUACCGCCAACAGGUAACGUGCCCCUCGCACAAAUCUGACUGCCAAAGAAGGACCAUACGUGGUCCAUCGCGUCAACUCUGACAGUAACACGCCACAAGUCCGAAAACGACACUGUAACGAAUCUGUAAAAAUCCAGCAUCUCGCGAAACCAGCACGAGUGUAAAUACAUUCUAAACUACCAUGGAGUACUCGUCUCGAAGUAAAACUGCGACAGUACAAUUUUCAACAGUCCCUAGAGCUAAAUCAGGUAGUAAANNNNNNNNNNNNNNNNNNNNNNNNNNNNNNNNNNNNNNNNNNNNNNNNNNNNNNNNNNNNNNNNNNNNNNNNNNNNNNNNNNNNNNNNNNNNNNNNNNNNCGAUAGGUAGUGUGGCAAAUGUUAACCUACUACGAUGCAUGAUAUCAUUCUACUUAGCAUGAAUAGCAAAAUAUGAAAGAACUAUGAUGCAAGUAAAUGUCUCCAACUAUCAUUGACUGUCACAGUGUUGACAUAGAAAAUUCCGUUGUUUACUAUUCUAAUCAAUGUUCAAGUUAGUUUACUAAGUCCAUCAUCUGUCCACAUGUCCAUAAUGGAUAUAUUAAAAGUCAUCUGAAGAGACCCACCGAAGGCUGUUCUGGGCCCUUGAGACCCACCGUAGGCUGUGCUGGCGGUGACGAGCUAAUGGGCCCGUGGUUAGGUUCAACCUCCCACACCUAGGAGUGAGCCUGCGCGCACUGGCAAUCCAGUUCGAGCGCCCAAUCGCCGCACGGCCGACAUAUGUUCGCGAUGGCCAUCUCCGGGAGUUGCCGCGCUUGUAGGUAGCGACCCUCACAAGGCAUGUGCGACAUGAAGCCACAAUCCAAGUAGUCAAACGAUCUGUCGCAUGUACCAAGUCCUUAUGUUAAUAAAUGGAAUGUGUCAAGUUAUCCUAUGACCUAUCCCUAUGCUCAUCACUGUUUCUACAUGGAAUAUAGCGGGUGUAUGUGGCCUAUCAUAUAUUCUAUGUUGCGUUUUCAUAGCUUACUUAGGUUAUCAAGUGCCCUUUUAUGAUCACACUAUUAUUCUCUAUGUCAAAGCGAUAUAAGUAUGUUCUCAAGUACGCAUUCUAGUCAUAAUUUCAAGGGAUGUAUUUACCACUUCUGCAAAAUUAAUGCUCUAUUUUCCACAUGAAUGCAUUCUUACUAGUAUAGCUCUACAUAUUAUAGUGUGAAAAUUUACAUAAUACACGGGCAUGCGGAUUAUAGCAGUCUUUAAAAUUCAUAUUAAAUUCCAUUUAGCAGUAGAAUAUGAACUAAAAAUAAUUUACGACAAGUAGGAAAGAGCAUAGGGCGCCAUUUCGCCACUUUCACGAAGCAAACCACCGGAUGACAACGAAACUCCUGCGUGCGACUCCAACGAGUGGUUCCUCUAGUCUCCUUAGUCCCUUAGAGGUACAAGACAUAGUGUCAUCUAGUCCAGACAACAACGACGCUAAGCCUUCAAUAUUAAGCAUAUAGGGCUAGGGUAGUACGAAAACUCACCGAUUUGGAAGAGAAGCUUCUGCACGAAUCUCAAAUGGGAGCUAGCGAUCUUCAAUUAACCUAAACAAAGGUUCUAAUCCAUCAAUUUGAUUACAAAAGGCUCCAAAACGAAAUCCCAAUUUAACCUACAAAUCCAAAUUAGGUUAGAUCUCAUGACAUAUCCAAUAAAACUCGAAUUAGAGGACGGAGAACAUGCUUGCUUUACCCUUAGAAGCCUUACAAAACAAGCUCUAAAUCUCUAUAAAUAUCCCAAGAUCAUUCGGGUCCACUUAGUCCGAAUCCAAGCUUGAGGCUUCCACUCAUGGAGGAAACCCAAAAGAGGCCAGAACAGCAAGGAGGAUGAGAUCCAAACCCACACAAAAAUCCUAUCAAAAAUGGAUGAGAAACGUCAAGGAGAGGGUAUUCUACCUUGUCCUCCUCAUGUUCUAGGGCUUCAAAGAGCAGCAUGAGGGCUGGGUGAAUAUAUAGGCGUCUGUUGCAACAAUCUGCAAAAAUCACCCUCUUACGAAGACAAGCCCAAACUGCACUGGUUACCGGUACACGGUUUGUGACCCGCGUACACUCUCACGAAAGCCAAACACGAGCCUGGGGUUUUGGUGGCUAGGAAAUGGUCUGAGUGUACGCGUACAACAACCGUACGGUACGAGCCAUCCAACCCGUACGUGUACAGCAUGCGAACCCGUAAACCGGUACGCGGCCUAGCUGGAAGGCUACCCCGAGCAGCUGACAAAUCUACUUUUUUUUGGAUUUUGUACACAGCCUUUAAACACACAAUUCUCGGGACCUUGCGAACCAGUAGUGUCGGCAAAACACUGUCAACGACCCUACCAGAAAGUCUGAAAGUUCGACACACGAUCAAGCACUCGAACCUCAGCAUUUGCAAAGUCCAGUGUGUUAACAUUCACACCUCUAAAAGGAGUUUUCAGUCGCCGAAACUCGAAACUAAAAGUAUCACUCAGGGCUCCACUGAAAAGAUGGGGAUAGCGAUCCUGCAAGCGCGCUCCUCAGCUCCAUCGUGCCCUCCCGCUCCCGUGUGCUCAAAGGACUUCACAUACGGAAUAUCCCGAGUUCCGCCAGCUGUUCCUUCACUCGCGCAGCCAACAAAAUUCUUCACGGUCGUUGCUCCUCGAAGCUCAAAUCCUCGCGCAGUUCCAAUGGUUACGGCUUCCAAACAUGAACAUUGGAUCAUUGAAUGUGAUCUCGAAGGACCGAUUACAUGAAAGAGGGUGGGGGGGGAGGAAAAACGGUUUGCGCACGCCGGAUAGGUCGUGGUUAGAGCAAGUCGAUACGCUACCGGCCUACACCGCUCCAGAUAUAAUACGGUCAAUGAAACGGAGGUGCUCAACUUUUCCCGAAUGCCGAUAUCUCUUGAUUCUCUAGUCGGCGAGCCUUCAAAGAACACUAUGAUCUCAACUUGGAAACUCCAAGUAUCGCCGUCGUUCGUCGGCGCGUAGCGUCCCUGUUCUACUGUGCCGCCGUCAAAGUUCGCUCCCGAGCAAUCAGAACCUUAUCCUCAGCCUUCCUGGACGCACAUCCAGAGGCUAGAGCCAAACUCCGCCAACUUUCGCAUCCAAUUGAAAGUUGGCGAUUACACUUUCCCGUCCAUAAAGUGUAUCGAAUGGGCGCCAUCUUGAUGCUCGGUGAUAAACUGUUGUUUAUAAAGCAAACUCCCCAUAGGUAGAUGCUGCGACCAUCCUCCCUGGAAAGUGCUUAUCACACACCGGAGCUAUCCUCUAAAAGUCUGAAUAGUGGCCUCAACUGUCAUCACUCUGCGGGUUGGAAUGCUUGCUAUGAAGUUCCAGGCGGUGCCUAGGGCGGUCCGCAGACUCCCCAAAAGUGAGACACAAACGGUGGUUGUCUCGAUCAAGAUACAAUCGAUGUAGGCAUCCAUGAAGUCUGACAAUCUCAUUCAAGGUACAUUGUGCGAGUUCUCUCCUGGUCAAGUCGUAUGAAUAGGUCAUGAAGUGCGUGACUUCAGUCAGUCCCUAUCCACGAUCACCACAAAUUAGCCGGUUUACUGCCCGCUGUGCAAGGCGGCGAUAUUCAUGUCACAAAAUCCGAUGGUGAUUUCUCCCUAUUCCACACGGAAUAGGUAAACUCUGACAGUUUUCCAGCGGGACUCCGGUGCUCAGCCAUUUACUAUGUUUUGCAAGUUAAGCAUUCUAGCCGAUAAACUCGCCAAAUUCUUUUUCUAUCCAGGCCACAAAGAAGCAACUUUAAAUCCUUAUAACAUUUUGUUUGAUCCCGGCAUGUAUAGCAUACGGCGCUCGGUGCCGCUUGUUCCUUGAAAAGAAUAUCUUGCUUAAUCCCCGCAUCCGCAGGUACACAUUUAUCGCCACGGGAAACGCAUCAAUCUAUUGAUCAUCAACAGGAAGUCGUGCGUAACACCGAUCAACAUCUUUACCUCUAAAUCUCUUUGCAACUUCACAUCGGAAGCUGCUUUCUUUGAUUCUUUCCAAUAACAGUAGGUGUAUCAGUCAAUCUCGCAAUAGGUUUAUAGGAGUCACUAUCUCAACUGCCAACCGCUUCACUGCUUCGAAUCAAAUGGCGGUUGAGUCACAACAUGCAUCGCUAAGUUUUCCGUCGAUUUGUCUACUUAGCAUCGCCACACGUUAGCCUUGCCCGGGGGGUGGUAAAGAAUCGUCAGAUCAUAUCUGCAGCGCUACCAACAUUGCGCUGUGUCUCAGGUUAAAACUCCUUCUGAAGUAAAACAGGUACUUUAGCCUUUGGAUCCGUGAUAUACUUCACACAAUCGGCCAUAAAGAUAGUGGGCCAUAGCUUCAAUGCGAACAACUACAGCCGCCAAUUACAAAUCAUGCGUGGGUAGUUUUUAUAUUCCUUUGAAGUUGGCGGAGAGCAUACGCGGAUCACCUUGCCAUCGUGCAUCAAUACACAGCCCAAACCAUUAAUGAAGGCAUCACUAAUGAACCACAACCUGCUCCAGCUACUGGUAGGUCAAGAUUGGGCAGUCGCUCAAUCGUCUGCUUAACUUCUUGGAAACUAUUCGCGGUCGCACGCGAUCGAUCAAAUGAACUUAAGACACUUUAUGGGUGCCGCUGUGAGGGAGAGUAGAAAGGUUUAGCAAACCCUCUACAAAUCUCCGUAGUAAACAGGCCAAUCAAGGAAGCUCCGUAUCCGUCGUGACGGCUCCGCCGGGCCUCGGCACUCUGAUUGUUUAUCUUCUUGGGACUCCUGCGGCCUACUACUACCAUUGAUCCUGAAUAUCAAAGUGUCCAAGGAAGGCUACCUCUCGAGCCAAAAUUCACAUUUCUUCAACUUAGCAUAGAAAGCUCCUUUUCCGAAGCACAUUGGGAGUAUCAAUCCUCAAAUGCUCCUGGUGAAUCUGCUCAUCUCGAGAGUAGACCCAAAUGAUCGUCGAUGAACACGACGAACAUGUCUAGGUAAGCUUGAAAACACGGUUUCAAUAGAUCCAUAAAAGCUGCCGGAGCAUUAGGUAAGCCCAAUACGGCAUACUGUUGAACUCAUAGUGUCCAUCGUGUUCAUAAAGAGCCGUCUUGACACAUCUCAGGGCCUUGAUCUUAAACUGGUGGUAUCCCGAUGACAAGGUCUAUCUUGAAUACACACACUCUGAAGAUGAUGCAACAUGUCGUCGCAUUACUCGGAACGGAAUACUUGGUACCAAACCCCCAGCAACAGCAGAAAAAAUACACAAAAAAAGUUGAUCGCUGACACUUAUUAAGUUCACGAUAAUCCACGCAAGGCGAAGUCGAAUCCGUAUUUUGUCUUGACGAACUAGGUGCUCCCCAAAAACGGUGAAAACUUCGGUCGAAUGAAGCCUUGUUCAAAAAUCUGUGAUUGUGCCCUCAGCGUCCUUCAGCUCAUGCCGGCCAUCCCUAUAGGGUAGCCUUUGAGUUGGGGUAGUCAGGGACAAGAGACUUUCUAUCACAAAUCAUAUCUCCCUUAUCAGGAAGAUUACCGGUAGCCUCAGCUGGAAACACAUACAGGAAUUGCCGCAACCACCGGUCUCCUCCAAGAUCCUAGGCGGCGUCAUUAUCGCAACAACAAAAUCAGCACAACACUAAGCCAAAAUAAGGUAAAACAACCUACUACUAAUCAGCUAGCUAGGACGGAUGUGGAUCGUUAUUCGACAAACAGCAACUCAGGCAUCAUCAAAUAACACCUCGUCUGCCACGGUUCUCUAAUAAGUAACCAGGUUGCGGAUUCUUGACAAUCUAAUCGAAUGGCUAAUAUUGCGUAAACACAAUCCUGCCAAGACCCACCAUAAAAAUCACCAAGCUUGCGCUAAGACAGCUAGCAAAUUAUAGGCAGUGAUCCAUGCUCCUACGCGAAAGGUAGGGCAAACUGGGGCUAUACUCUCUAAUAUUCCAAAAUGUGGGUACAGGGUAAUACAUGUCCGAUAUGCAACAAAGAAACCAACGGAGAUGCAUUUGCACUCGGCAACUCGCGUCUAUAAAAUGAAUUGCGAUACACAGUAUCAAAAAAAGCCAGAACUAAUGCAUCAAGUAAUGUACUGCAAACCAAUACCUUUCAUUAUCGCCUUUCUACUUUUAUUGUCACUGACAUCUUUUGUAGCUUUGGGCCUUGUGGUGCAUUCACUGAAGUCAGUAAUUGCCCACUGGGAACUAUUUUUAAUAGUUCUCAUGCCCCUGUUUUGUGGUUUACUUUUCAGAGCCUUCGGCACCGGCGGAGGCACGGGAUCGCGGCAAGGGGAUCGCUUAGAUAGCUAGCGAGGAGCGGUACCUUGCCUAGGUGGUUUGCUCAUCCUUUUUGUAGUUGAGAGAGAGUGAGAGUUUUUGUAUCCAUGUAUAGAGACCACCUAUGUACCCACUUUUAACUCUUGUAUUUGGGAUUUCCAUUGUACUCGCUUUAUGUUUUAUUUAGUGGUUUUACAGUUUUAUCCAUAUCUCUUGUUGUAGCUAUUAGACAUUUACUAUGCUCUGAUAUUCCUGGAUGUCUUUUAUUAUUGCUUUUAUUAUCGUUGUUUUUAGACGCCUUAUAUGUUGUAGACAUAUGGCGGGUCUGGACACGCGCCGGGCGGGCUUCCGCUGGGUCCCGGGGCGUGACACCUUAUUCCUCUUCUUUUCCUUUCUUCUUCUUGUCUUCUUCUUCUCCUUCUUGUCUUCUAGAGAGAGAAAGAGAGAUGAGAGGGGGAGUGUGAGGGAGAGAAUGAGAGGAAAAGCCCUCAAAGCCCUCCACUUAACCAUUAGGUUGCACAAAUGCAAUAGGCCCCUCAACUUUCACUUUAUUGAACUGCUUGAAUUGGACAGUUUUCGAGUUCGGGGACCGGUCUCCCCGACUUGGGACCGGUCCUAGAGAGCUCUCCCGCAGCUCAAUGAGGGCUUUCGCACGAGGCAAACGGUCUCUCCCUGGGAGACCGGUCUCUCGGGGACCAGUCUCUCCCCACAAGGACCGGUUCCCAAGAGCUGGUUUUCUGAGGACUUAGCCAAUUUUUCAGCUUUGUCAGUUUUCACGCAUUCGGCGACCGGUCUCUCCCACCAGGGACCAGUCCCCGAGAGCUCAAAAACUGCAGUUUGCAUAUUUUUGAUUCUUAAGCUCUCGAAAACCUCCCAUAACGCACUUUUGAUCAUUUUAACACCUUCGAACUUUUCGAAGUGUACCAUCCUCGCACUUUGGUCAACUUGACUAAAGUUCGAUAUUUAUUUUCCGAAUUUUCGGUAUAUUACACAUCUACUACUUUCCAUGUUUUAGACAUGAUGACAUAGAGAUAGGCCUACAAGAAAGUUGUGACGUAUUCCAUGUUGUUAGACAUGAGGACUUGGUACUUGAGACGGAUCUUUUGUUACUUGCCAUUGUGCUCAUUCGCACAUGCUUGUGAGGGUCGAUUCCUACAAGCUGGCACUCCGGAGAUGGCCAUCGCGAUACAUAUUCGCCGUGCGAGAUUGGGCACCGAAGUGGAUUGUCGUGGGAAAGGCUCAUUCCUAGAGUGAGGAUGUUCACUACCACGGGGCCAUUAGGCUCGGCACCGGCCAGACAGCCUACGGGUAGGUCUCAGGGCCAGACUAUCUCCCCCUUUGGCAAUUUCGUGACAAAACUCACACAAACUCAAAAAUUACAAUUUAAAGAGAAAACGAAGUUCAAUGUCAUCACCAAAACAUCGAACCCCUCGCGUGUAAUCCAAAUACAAUAUGAAACUCAGAAUUACAUCAAAACUCCUAAAACAGACUCUAUGACUUAGACGCAACUAGGAGUCUUGAAGUCUUGAAAUCCUGCAAAACAAAUCACUCAAAAAUGAUUAGCCUUAAAUUCUUAUACCUUCUCCUCCAAUGUUCACAUCUCCCCCUUUGUUCUUGAAUUCAUCAUCCUCAGCUCCAGUUUAAUGCCUGUUUAUCUAUGGCUCUCCGCCCUUAUCCGAAUCCACGAACGCCUUUGUUCACGCCGAAUCCACGACGCGUUCAUGAAGAGCAUCAUGAUUAUGGUGAUCCUUCGCUUAGGAGUAUCGUAGAAAACAGAGAAAGAAACUCCAAACAAAGCGGAGAUCAAAUCGUCAUAUAGAUAUCAAAUUACAAUAUUCGAUUUGACCUAAAAGAGGCUAAUAUGUAGAAAAUAGGUUUAGAUGAAAUCCAAGCCUCUAGGUUUCUAAAUAUGUAUUUUCGUGAUGCUUGAUCUGUUAGAGAACCCAUAGCUUAUUUAUAGACUUUAGAAUCAAUCGGAGUCGAAUUAGAAAGUUUUCACGGUUUUACACUGUGUACCGGUACACGAAAGGCUGUCACCGGUUACACAAGGACGGAACAGAAAUACGAAGCCAAGUCAGUGGCUGUACCGGUACGCUCUUGAUUGCUGUACCGGUACACAAUGCAAUUUUUGGGAUUUUGCAUUGUUUCGAGUUCCGUACACUUCCGAAGCACUUUCUAAUCAACUAUACUUUUGAUUAAAUGAUUCUAAUGCCUAUAACUAAGUAUGAAUCACCAUAACAUGAAUUUAAAACUUUACCUGAGCAUCGUGAUUCAUAUCGUGAGUUAUUUUCCAACUUCUUCGAAAUCUUGAAUUCUUCGAUCUUCGACGAUAUGUACCGGUUCUUCAAGACUCCGACUCACUUCACGAAACUUGCCAAUACAAAAUCCUUAACACAGACAACCUUCGGGCGGGUCUCUUCAGAUUUGAUUUUGAGCAUUCAUCAUGCCAUGUAGAUAUUGAUUCGAAUAGUAAACAAUGACAUCUUUACUAUUUGAUUCAAGGACAUCAUACUAGCGAUGCUUGGGUACAUUCAUACGAGAAUAGCUUUUCUUACUUAUGCUAAAUCAUGCUAAGUAGAGAUAUCAUGUGGUAGCAAUAUUCAUGCUUAUUUACUUGUCGUACUUAUCGUUUUUGUUUAUUUUUGCUUAUUGACCCCUUUUUAGUUUGGGCCUAGUGGUGCAUUUCACUGAAGCCAGUAAUUGCCCACUGGGAAUUAUUAUUCAAUAGUUCUCACGCCCCCUGCUUUAUGGUUUUAUUUCAGAGCCUUCGGCACCGGUGGAGACACGGGAUCGCGGCAAGGGAGUCGCGUAGCUAGUUAGCGGGGAGCUACUUUUGAGCUUAGGUGGCUUACUCUUUCUUUUAUUGUAUUAGAGAGAGAGAGAUUUUGAGUACCAUGUAUAGAGAGACCACCUAUAUACUCUUUAUGCUUAGCUUUUGUAUUUGGGAUUUCCUUGGUGCUACUUUAUGGCUUUAUUAGUGGAUUUCAGUUUUAUACUUAUCCCUCUGUUGUAGAACAUAGUCAUUUACUUUGCUCUGAUAUCGUUAGAUCCUUUGUUCUACUACUUAAUUUAUUGUUUUGUUGUAGACGCCUUGUAUGUUAUAUACAUAUGGCGGGUCUGGGCACGCGCCGGGCGGGCUUCCGCUGGGUCCUGGGGCGUGACAUCAAUAUAAAGAACUUAGACAUAAAAAAAGCCCGGUUGCUUCAGGAUUGACACCCCCUACCUUUUGGUGAUGUCUUGAAGCUACGAGUCCGUUUCCAAGAUUUUUGGAAGCUUACGUCACAAGCUACGAUAAUCUAUACCUCUACGGCUUAUUUCCUCAAUAUCUUCACGUAGCCUCGACGAAUACUCAAACCGAGUGCACGAACGCGUUCGGGGACCUAACAAUUAGGUUAGAGAAGGGUCAAUUGAGAUCAAAACCCCUCAGAAGAAAAUUUUCUCUUUUGGAUGCCCUAGAAGCCCCAAUAUUGCAAUAGCUCUAUUCUAGCAUUUAUUCUUGCAAUCAAUGAGUUUCAUUACUUUUAGAGGUCUAUUAGAGUCCAUCUAGCUAGGUUCUAACACUCCGUUUGGCUCAGGUAUAAAGGGGGCGAUAAGGGGGAUAUCCCCCCCUUUAUACCCAAACAAAAAAAAGUGAUGGUUGGAACAAGUGUUCCCACCAUAACGGGUUGUACCAGGUACAACUCGUUAUGGGUGGGAACAAGUGUUCCCACCCGUGGUUGGAACAAGCUUGUUCCCAAGCUUGUUCCAACCUACUUGAGUAAAGAGAGAGAGAGAGAGAGAGAGACAGAGAGAGAGAGAGAGAGAGAGAGAGAGAUUUUUAUUUUAAAUUUAAAUAUAAAUUUUUAAAAUUUAUAAUUUUUAUAAUUAUAAUUAAUAAAUUAAAAUUUUAAAUUUUAUUAAAGUUUAAAUUUUAAAUUUGAUAUUUUAAAUUUGAUAUUUUUAGUUUUCAAAUUUUAAAUUUGUUAUUUUAUAUCUUUGAAAUUUAAAUUUGGUCUGAAAUUUAAAAUUUAAUAUUUAAAAUUUAAAUUUUUAAUAUUAAAAUUUAAAUUUUAAAAUUUUAAUUUAAAUUUAAAAGUUAAAAUUUUAAAUUUAAAAUUAUAAGUUUAAAAUUCAAUUAUAGGGAUAAUAUUAUUAUUUUCUAUUUAUAACUACCAACUAUUCCUCUUAUUCCCAAAAACCAUCCAAACACAAUUUUUCUACUUCCAGAUUAUACUCACAAUUUCAUCCAAACAAAAAAAUACCCUUGUUCCUACAAAAACCCAUACUUGUACCUAUCCCCGGUAUAACUAGUUCCUACUAAUUCCCGAUCCAAAUGGAGGAGAUCAAAGCAAACCCUAAGCUACUUGCCAUGAAAG